GUUUCUGAACCAAGCCUUAUAUUUAAUUAGAUUCAUUCCUAUGCUCUCAAUGCUUCCAACACCGAAACCCCUUGUUGUACCAGGAUUCAAUUUCUUCGCCCUUAUCCAAAUCAAUCCCUCUCACAAUAGGACAUGGUUUGGUUCGGUGAGGUUUGUGUGAAACCAAAACCGAAAUCGAUUUUUUUUUUUUGUGGUUCAAUUCAAUGCAGUUUUGAAGCCAUAACUGAAAUGGAACCAAGCCAUUUGGUUGUAGUUUAGUUCAGUUACAAACGGUUUUGGUCGUGGUUUUUAAACCAUUUGCAAACUAAAUUCUUUAUGUUAUUCAUACAACCCAAUUGGAAGAAAAUAAAAAUAAAAAAUAAAAAAAGGGGUCAUGAUCAUCAUACUAAAUUCACCAUACUUUUGUACAACCCAAUUAAAAAAAAAUUAAUUCACCAUACUAAAAUUGAACUUCAAACAAAGUUCAACAACAAUAUGCCUUAAAUUGUUCAUGCAUAUGUAACUUAUUCUUUCAGGAUUCUAGUCACAAAAAAUGCCUCUCAAUAUCACGAGCCGAAGCUGCAUGGUUGCGCCAUAGGUUUUCCAUAUUAGAACUUAUCAUUUCUAGCAUCUCAUGUGUGGGGUCUAAUGCAACGAUAGUGCAAGUGGAGGCGGGGAGACACAAUCUCUAUUAGUGGACAUGAGAGGUGUACUCCCAGCGAUGGGUGCAUCAACUGGCGGAGGAAGGGCAUCCAUUCUAGGGAAGUCAGGAUUGUAUGAUGGAUCAAAAUGGUCAAUGAUGUGUGAAGGUGAGACCGUUUGCGAUGUACUAUGAACUUGAACUCUCAAUGAAAGCAUCAAACUGUUGUAGCAGUUUUUAGACAGCCGUCGUGGUCCCAACUUGUGCAGAUCAAAGCCAAGCAAAGACCUUUUAAGCCUUGUGCCGGCGAUGGUGGUUCCCGGUGUAGGGACUCUGAUGAUCAAGUCAGAUUAUCUUUGUGUGUGGGUAAACUAUGUGUUUGGUAUGAAGAGUCGAUUCACUUGUUUAUAGGCUGAGGAGAACUGGCCUGAGCUUUCCAACUCUGCUUUGAGUUGACAGCUUGCGUGGGAGCCAGCAGUAGGGCAUGUCUGUGUAAUCAUCAUGAUUUUUGUUAGGACAAGGCAAUCUGCCCUCUGCAUGAUAUGGGUGGAAGUACUAGCCAUGUUGUUCAGUCAGAACGGACACCCCCUAGGGCCGAGCAAGUGCUGCUUUGAGAGGACAUGGUCGUUUGAGUGGGAACAGUUAGUAGCCCAAGUGACAGUGUUGGCCCACUCCGCUGGAGUGGAGCCAGUCCGACAUUGAAGGGAGUAAUUAUUGUGCCAGGAACCACCUAGUUAGAUCGUGUCCUCGUGGGAGGAUGUUCGGCCUCGUGCCCAUUAUGGACUAGGGUCGGCAGAGUGGGAUUGGAAGUUCACUGUCUUGGGCAGGUGGUUUUACAGGUAUUAAAUUAAAUAUUUUAAAUUUUUUUAUAGUACGGUUCAAUUUUGGUUUGGUUUCAAAUGGUUAGAACCAAAACCAAACCAUUUUUUCUUCCUUUAGUUCAGUUUCAAACCGAAACCGUUUUGAAACCGCAAAAACCAAACCGUUCGGUGUAGUUUGGUUUGGUUCAUGUUUUAGUUUCAGUUUUGGGUUUCAAGUGGCCCCCCCAACCUUACAUUACUAUUUUUGUUGGGUACUAUACAAUAUACUUAUGAUUAGUAAAUUAUUUUGGAAACUAUACUUGUUUUAAAGUGAGUUGUUACGACUUUUAUGAAAUAAUUGUUUUACAAAACCUUUCUUUUUCGGUCCACUCACAUUUGUUUUUUGCCACUCCUGGAUUUAGUGAAUAUACUCUUGUGGCGUCAAGGAUUAUUAACAAACGCUAACUUUCACUUCUGACAAUGUAGGAGGUUUUUCCUUCUUGUACAACUGUUGACCCUAAAAACUACCAAGCCUACGUGGCGCGCAGGCCGAAUAAUCUAUAAGCUAACUACGUACUUCGGUGAAUGCGGGGCGUGCCAACCCGUCGGUCGAGCUCGGCCGAGGAGUAAAUUUAUUGAUGUUGUGUUGGGUGAGCGGCUGACUUCUACAUCUUGCGAUUGCGACCGAGGAAGGAACAUGUCUCGGCCUCUUGGGUUCUCGAACCUGAAGACAAGGCUACUAUUCUUACGAAGUUCACGAAUCGCCGUUGUCGGAUUUGGUCACAGUGAUGUUAUUCGUCAGAGUAAACUCACGCCGAAUCGACACCAAAGUGUAAGGGCACAAAUACUCAAAGCGAAUAUAAGUCUUAAUAGUGAACGUGGUUCGGCCGUCUGAAUGCUGAACUCUAAAUCCCACUUGAGAGUAUCCAAUCAUAAAAUAACUCGGCAUGCAAUGCGCCAAGCUCAGUAAACUGUAACACCUCACUUCGCCAAGAAGGCUAAUGAGAUGACCUCAAUCAAUAAGGAUUUGAAAAUCCUUCUCGACCGAGACUUGGAUAGGUAACCAACCGUCCUUGCCGCAGUGCUGUUGAUGCCAAUGGAAGAUGCUGCGAGAUCGACUGAUUCUAUGGCGACAGAGCUAUCUAUGCCGACUUAAGAUAUCACCGGUUGCUUUCACAGUCUUGUUGAUGCCAACGGAAGAUGUGUCGGCGAAAAGAGAAAAUAAAAAUCUCAAAGUUGUUGAGAGAGUUUGCGUAGGGCAGUUGUGUGUUGAAUUGGAUGGGCCUUUUCUGUUGUAGAAUGCCUUGUAUUUAUAGAAAACUUGCGGUCGUGUCGUACUAUCAUAAGAUCUGACUUGUGGACUCAGAAUACUGACCUUCUUCCACACGCUGCUAAUCUACAUGUAUUUGAAAUUAUCCUUGAGAUAAUUCUCCAAAAUGUCAGUAACCUUUCGCGUGGAGACCAUAAAAAGCUCACUUUUUCAUGCUUAUCUUAUCCAUUUACAAAUCAAUUGCAAACCCUUCUUUGCUAUUAUCACAAACUGACCCUGAUCCUGAUCACCAUCAAAUCACCUUUAUUCAAUCCAUGAUCCUGAUCCUUCUUUGCUAUUUGCAAAUCGUUGGUCUCUGCUGCACCAUUUCACUUUUAUCCAACACAUACAUUAAUUUCAAAUGAAAUGUAAUCCAAUUGUAGUUGUAUUGCCGCAUGAGUCGUACCAACCAUUCCAAACCUAUUUGAACUGUACUUCUUUGCUUUGCCAUUUAUCUUUAAGCAACCCGUUGGAUAUAGCCAAUAUUAGGCUUAGAUAAUCUAAUAUAUAUUAAGAGAUAAUAUUAUGCUUAAAAUCACAAUAUUAUUCCUUAAUAAUAAUUGAAAAUUAUCUCAGCCACUUUAUCAUCCAACGGUCUAGAACUUUACUCAUCUAACGACCUUGAUUGCACGGGCUGAUAGUGUAAAUUUGGGUCCAAACAACAACAUUCUUUACUUUACUACACUCAUACUUGUACUCCAACAUCACAUGUGUAUUAAGGGUUCAACCAUGUUCAUACUGCGUACUCCUACUUUAUUUACUUUCAAGGUUUUAGUUUAUUCACAUUUUUCCACAUCACCUUCACUUUAUAGCUUCGUCACCUUUUAGGUGUCAGCCCACAUGUUUCAACUCGGGUGUACACAUGGACAUUCUGGGUCGAGUGUGUCAGUUUGGUAUCAGAGCAUAGGUUUAGGUAAUCCUACAUUCAUCACACACAUGAUGCAAGCACAAUUGAUUCUUGAAUCUCUAAUGUCAAAACCUCGUCAAGAAAGGAUCGCGCAAGCAUUUCCCUACUUUGGUCUAUUCAGAACGACUAUCGCUAAUGCUAUCCUGAUGGCUUUGGAGAUUGCCUCCGGUCUUCGAGCAAAUAACUUCUACGCGAAGGAGAGACUACUUGAGUACAUAUACAAUCCAUUCAUGACAAUCUAUGGGAUUGUGGUACCAAGUUAGGAAACUUUAGGGCCUGUUUGGUAUCCUAUUUGAAAUUUUUUAUCGUUUCUCAAAACAUUUCUUAAGAACAUUUCUUGAAAACAAUUUUCUUUAAGACUCAAAAACUUGAUUGGUUGGCGAUUUAAAAUUUUUAAAUCUUACAACUUAAACUAGACAAAGAGAUCUAAAAAGAGGGGGUCAUAGGAGAUGGAGAAAGAGAAGAGAGAAGGAAAUAAAGUAAGAGAUGCUUGAAGGAAAGAGAAAAAGGGACGAUCGGACGAGAUAGAGAGGAAGAUAAGUGAGAGAAAGAACCAAAAGAAUGAAGAGAGGGGAUUGGAGGAGAGGAAAAAAAGGUAAAAAAAAAUUAAGAAAAAAAGAGGAAAGAGAAAGAAGAAAAGAUAGAGAUAGAUUUGGAGUGAGAGGGCAAGAGAGAGAGAAAAAAAAUGAGUGAGUUAAGUUUAAAAACUCUAAAAACUUACUUUUUAUGGUUUUAGAGAAUAGACAAUAUUUUUGAGUUAGUCUUGUGUUCAAUUUUUUAAAAUAGUCCUACCAAACAAGUUUUUAAGGCCUAAAACUUGAAAAUUAUUUUUGAAUUUAAAAAGGUGGAUUCAAGUAGAGUACCAAGCAGACCAUUAGCCUUUCGUUUUCCUUUGUCAAGUUUUGGAUAGCGUGUUUGCAAAUCAAUGUUCAAAAAAUCGGCCUAGGCAGGCUUAGGCUCCUAGGUGCUCGACGAUGGUGUUCUGAUCCGAUUCAGGCCAAAAUGUUCAGAAAAUCGGAGAGGAUUUAGGCAGCCGCCUAGACGCUCACUAGGUGCUCUAGAUGGCUCUAGGCGGCAGGUUAGGCGAUUUGAACGGCGCGGACCUUUAGCGGAAGCACAUCAACCUGCUAUCGAACAACCCACAGCGGUUUGCUUUGGUUACUGUGAAUCUCGAAAUGACGUACACCAGUGGUUUAAAUAUCAAUGAUAGGGUCAAAUUUCAAACUUAAUGAAAGCCAAACUCAAGCAAAAGCAAAAAAUCAAUCAUCGUCAGCGAGCUGAGUUGCAGACCUUCCCGAGGAAGAAGAAGCCUCUAAAAUCCUUUCAUUUCUUUUUUUUGUAAGAGAACGACGUUGUCUGGGUAGUUGGUAAAGUGAAACAUGUUUGGGGAAUAGUGAAACGUUUGUGGGGAAAACUGAAGCAUGUUUGGUGUUUUUUUCCCAAAUGAUAAGUGUUUGGUGUUUAUGUGGCACGAAAUCCUUAAUUCCUAGAAUCUUAACGCUUUAUAAUUACCAAAAAAAAUUGAAAAAGAGAAUUCCUAUAAUCCUAAUACCACGUAAUCACACACAAAACAGAACUGUUAAUUAAUUUUUAUUCAAAUACUCAUAUAAUAUUUAGUACGUACUAUAUUUUUUUAAUUAAAUAGAUGUAGAUACAUGCUUUUUAUUUCAUUAGAUGAGUUACAUGAGUACACUAUAUGCAUUUUAGUAUAAUGGUAUAACCCAAAAUUUCAUACAAUAUAUUAUUUUUAAGUAUAAAUACACUUAUUUAUUUGAUAUAUGGUAAAUUUCCUUAAACCGUCUAGUCUGCCUAGGCGCUAGGCCCCAGCCCACCACCCGACUAUCGCCUAGCGUCUUUUAAAACCAUGUUGCAAAUAUAUUGGUAAUUUAAAUUACAUAACAAAUAUAAAUAGCACUACCCACUAUUUUUGAAAAACUCCAUUCCCUCCAUUGGAAUUCUACGACUCUAAUGACGUUCCAACGAACUGAAUAUGUUGCUGGUUGCUAACAAUAUCUCGCCCAGCUGUUAUUUCAGGCCUAACAAUAUUAUAUGUGGUCACAUGAAGAAGUAGCUAGUGCAUGUUCUGUCAUGUGAAAUUUGUUGUAUGCAUGAAGAAAGGUAGGUCACCGUCGCCAAUUCACUUGGCCAUUCAUAUAUUUAUAUUAUAAAAUUUGUGUCAAUUUAGUAACUCACUCAAGUAUCAGUAAAUUAGUUUAGGGUCCAUAGUACCCUGCAUGGCAUUAUGUGUUGUGUGCUUAUAGAGUAGGCUUAUAAAAAGGUCAUUAAUCGAACAGUUCAGUUUAAUUUCAAUUUUUUAUCAUUAGAAUCGUUCAUUUUUCUAUAAUUUUAAAAUAAAAAAAAUUAUUUCUGCAAAAAUACUAAUUUGAUUGAAGUUUAUUCAUCAUAUGUAUUAAACAAGUCAAUAAUUUUGAUAACAACUUACAUUGUCAUGAUGAACCAUCCAUAAAUAACUAAAUCUCUAUUUUGAAUUUUUAUCUACCUGGUAUUAGAUUACAUAUUGAUUAUAAUCCCUUGAUGUGUCCUUAAUUCAAAAUAAUUAAUAUGCAUUUUAUUUAAUGUCUCCCAUUAAAUAUUUAAAUUUAUUAAUAUACAAAUUUUAAUUUAUUUUUUGACCAUAAAAGAGUUUUUUAAUUUAUUAAUUUUAUUUAACAUUCUUCAAACUUGAAAAACUUAAUUAAUGUACCUAAAUGUUAGUACCAAAAUGUAUUAUAUUGAACUAAUGUAUUUAAAUGUUCAUACCGAAAUGUAUUUACCGAAAUAUAUUCAUCGAAAUGUAUUAUAUUAAAUUAAUGUACAUAAAUGUUUGUACCGAAAUGUAUUAUAUUGAAUUAAUGUACCUAAAUGUUUGUAUUGAAAUGUGUGCACCUAAAUGUAUACACUGAAAUGUAUUAUAAUGAAUUUAAUAUACCUAAAUGAAGAAUACAAAGUGUCACAACCCGUCCCGGAGGUACAUUUGACGGGGAUGUGAAAUGACGGAUUUGCCCUUAGCGGGCAUUAAGGUACGUGGGUGUGUGAUAUUAUUUGGUCUAACCUUAAAAUGUGUUGGAAGAAAAUUAUAAGAUAAGUUGGAUUAUUAAUUUAAAAUUUUGUUAUGUUGAUUAAGGAUGUGGACAAAUGGAUGGUGGGGAUUGUUUUUGGACAUCACAAACCCUCAUUCUCUCCCUCUCAUUCCCGUGGCUCUCUCUCUCUCCUUCCUCACGACCCUCUCUCUCUCUCUCUCUCACCCAAACCGUACGGACAACACCAAAACCAACCAAAACUUCAUGGAUCGACGUGGAGAUUAGUAUUAUCGUGUUUGUGAGUGUCCUACGAACUCAAAGAUACCAUUUUCAGGUAAGAAAUCCUUCGUUUUCACGUUCAAAACUCGAGGACCGAAUGUGGCACUAUUCAUGAACUUUAUGUUGGUUGAUUUUUAGGACAAUCCAAGCUCACAAUGAACUUUAGGAGGUCCUAAGGAAGCUCGGGGACGUUCGUUUGGAAGUUUUGGACGUCGGGAUCGUCGAGUUCGACUUUGGCCGGUUUUGCUUGGAUUUUUCCGGUGAGAUUUAGUUGUUUUUAGAGCCUUAAAGUAGUGUAUCGUGAUUCUACAUGUUUGCGGCUUCAUUUUGGUAUAAAAUACGAAGAAAAUGGUUGAGAAACGAAGGAGAACGAAGCGUUCAAAGUUUGGCCGGAAACCGGCCGCCGGAAAAACCAAUCCGGCGACUGGCUGAGAAAAAAGGUGCGCGUAGGGGCGCGUGGGACCUCCAAAAUUUUUUCUAAAAAUUAUGCGACGUCCGUGAUGUCGAGUAGGUCGAUGUGGUAUAUUCAUAUACCCAAAUUGAGCAUCGUAUGAGAAGUUAUUUUGAAUUAUUGGUUAUGUGUUUAAAUUAACGUUUUUAUAGUUGUUUCGCAUAUAGGUGACACCUAUCCCGAGGACGAGCGCAUCCAGGGACGCCACGAGGGUUACGACCCUUCGACUUAUCAGUGAGUGGGCAGUUUUGAUUUCGUAUUACUUAUAUACAACUGUUUUUCCUAGAAAAUACGUUUAUGUGAAAAUUAUGAAUCUAUUUGCCAUGCAUGAAACUGUUGAGAUAUUUAGUUUGAUAAUUGAUAUAUAUAUAUAUAUAUAUAUAUAUGUGAAAUGACGCUGUGGACGCUCAGGUGAGUUUAUUUAUUUUCAGCUAAGUUAUUUAUCAUGGAUUGCAUUGAAAGCUCUUAACCUGCACCUAGGUGUUAGUGCUUAUAUUGUUAUUCACCACACCACACGCUCGUCUUGGAUCCAAGUAGGUGGAUGUCGUACAGACCAUGUGAGGGUUCCGACAUGCUAAUUGUACAGAUCACUAGAUGUGGUUCCGACUAGUGGGUGACCUUAGUUAUGCGCGCUAAUGAUUGAUGAGAGAAGCACUAGAGCGUAUUUAUACAUCUGUCAUCGUACAGACUACUAUGUGUAGUUCCGAGUGACGUGCAGAGUUGGACCGUACAGGUCACUGAGGUGACUCCGGUUGGAUUAGAUGUUGAGCUUUAGAAUCAGCCGUACAGGACUAUUGUAGGGUCUCCGGUUGAUUUAUCAUUUCACCUGAUUGUUAUUGACGCAUUCUGAUUAUAUUUUGGGCAUGGCAUAUCAUUUCUGAGAUGUUAUGACGAUGGAUAUGUGCUGAGUAAUGAUGUUUGGUAUAUAUAUGUUUAUAUACUAUUUUCGGGGAAAGUAUACAGGUUUUUACGGUGAGGGGUUAGAAAUAUUUUAAAUGAACUGUUUUGGAAAAACGAUUUGGUUUUACUGACCCACUCAUUUUGUUUUGCGCCCCUCUAGGUUCUAGUUAGCGGUUGGUGGCUCUCGAGGUCUUAUUCCGACUUUCUGACAGACUCUUGACAUGUAGGACUCACCUGAGGGUGAUGUACUUUUAUUUUAGUCCUACUUGACUGCACCUAAACCUAUGCUUUGGAUUUAUGUGUUUAUCUUAACUCGUCCUGUUAUUCUAGUAGGUUGUUCUGGUAGAGUUUGGUUUGAAUUCUUUCUUAUAAAUGUUGUUGUUUCGCUUCCGUGUCGCACUUAUGGUUACGUCACGCUCACGUGACAGCCAGCACGAUUGGAUCCUCUGGAUCGGGGUGUGUCAGUUUGGUAUCAGAGCUUAGGUUGCAGUCCUGUAUAAUUGUUAAUGCUUUAAUGAUCUUUUGAUGUUUUUUAUCAGAAUUAUGCCGCCUCGUAGAGAGCGUAGGGAGUCCUGUCGUACUCCUGAACCUAAUUUUCCGGAUAUCACUCAGUUGGGGGAAGCAAUGGCUCAGGCUUUUCAGAAUGUGAUUCAUCAUCCUCCCCCACCUCAGAGGACACCUCUGGAGACCAUGUACAAUUUGAAAUUAGAUCAUUUUAUGGGUGAUGAAGGUCACGAGGGGGCAGAGAAAUGGCUAGAUCAUAUUGAAAAGACAUUUCAGGUAAUGCAAAGUCAAGGGAAUUUUCCGGCUGAUAGGUGGGUGGAGACUACUACCUGGUUUUUGGGUCGAGAACCGGCUAGUUGGUGGAGGAAUCAGACUCAGUUUAUGACCCCAACUAUGGCAUCUGAUUGGGUUGUAUUUAAAGAUAAUUUUAAGAAAAGAUUUGUCCCUCCAGAGUAUAUUGAUCACAAGAAACAGGAAUUUACUUAGUUGAAACAGAAGAAUAUGUCAGCUCAUGAGUACUACAGAAAGUUUACUGAUUUGUCUCACUAUAACCCUGAUACAGCUGGUAAUCAGGGAGAGAUGCUUCGACGUUUCAAGUUGGGAUCUAAGAAGAAGUGGCGUACCUUUGCCAGUGCACUUCCUUGCACCGAUUACCAUGAGUUAUUUGAGAUUUUGGUUAGGAUGGAGGACUCUGAUAAUCUUCCCAGUGAGAGUGAGGACGACGAGGACAAGAAUGACGGUCAGAAGAAGGAUGAUAAAGGUAAGGGUAUUUCUAUUCCGAGACCUCGCAAGACUCAGAAUUUUAAGAAGAGUGGAGUAAGUUCGAGUUCUUCUAGUGGUGGAUUUAGUAUUACUGGCCCGAGGAGAGGUGGUGGUAGAUUUUCUGGUGGGCCUAGAUUUCAGAGGCAGAGGGAUUCUGGUGGUGCUGGUGGUUCUGGCGCUCCGUGGUGCCGCCGUUGUAACUUUCGUCACCAUGGUGAGUGUAGGAGAGGUAGUGGUGCUUGCUUUACUUGUGGGCAAAUGGGGCAUCGGGCUUCUCAGUGUCCCCAGGGUCAGCAGAGACCGCAGCAGACCAAUAUGCCACCUCCAGCACCGAUUCAGCAUAGUUUUGGACCAGGCGGUUAUGGCCAGUCGAGUCGUGGUGGUGCCUACCACUACCAGGGGGAUGCUGCUCCAUAUGCUCCCGGACCUUAUCAGUAUCCCCAGGAGCCUUAUCCUCAGGCAAGGUAUUCUCAGGACUUUGGAGGUUAUUCUUCUUAUUCAUCUAUGCCAACUGGUGGAUCGCAGUGGCAUCAGGGAGGCCAACCCCGUCAGGGGGAAGUUGUUACUGGUGGUGUAGGAUCAUCCAGGCAGCCUAGUCAGCCAGGCCAGGGACGUACUCCUCAGGGACGAGGUAAUCAGGGCAGUAGAGGUCGUGGUGGACGACAACAAGCUCAGGGGCGAGUUAAUCAUAUUUCACUACAAGAGGCCCAUAACCAUCCAGACUUGAUCAUGGGUACGUUAAAUGUUCUUGGUCACUUUGCUAAGGUUUUGAUUGAUUGUGGUGCUACGCACUCUGUGAUUUCUCAUACGUUUGCUCAAAUGACCCAACCUCACCCUUCACCUCUAGGAUUUGAUUUAGAGUUUGCCAUGCCUAGAGGAGAUAAAUGUUAUGUUGAUAGUGUGUAUCUUGGGUGUCCAGUAAUGGUAGAGUGCGUGGUUAUGUCAGCUGAUCUUAUUCCGUUAGAUAUUGUGGAUUUUGAUGUGAUUCUAGGGGCUGAUUGGUUGCAUUAUAAUCGUGCCCAUAUUGAUUGUUAUGGUAAAUCAGUUGCUUUUUAUCGUCCUGGAUUACCUGAGGUUACUUUUGUGGGCGAAAGAAGUGGGGUGAGACAUGGUGUUAUUUCUGCCAUAAGGGCAAGGAAAUUAUUAUCGAAGGGUUGUCAAGGAUAUUUAGCACAUGUGGUGUUAAAUGAUGUUGUUUCUACUAGUAUAGAAGAAGUUGGUGUGGUCAGGCAUUAUCCUGAUGUGUUUCCUGAUGAUUUACCGGGGUUGCCGCCAGACAGAGAGGUGGAAUUCUCUAUUGAUUUGCUUCCAGGUACUGACCCUAUAUCUCUAACUCCUUAUAGAAUGGCUCAUGCUGAGUUGAGAGAAUUGAAAAUCCAGUUGCAAGAAUUACUUGAUAAAGGUUUCAUUCAACCUAGUCCGUCACCUUGGGGUGCCCCAGUAUUAUUUGUGAAGAAGAAAGAUGGAACUCUACGAUUAUGUAUUGAUAUAGACAAUUGAACCGAGUAACGAUUAGAAACCGUUAUCCAUUGCCUCGCAUUGAUGAUUUGUUUGACCAACUGAAAGGUGCGUGUGUAUUUUCUAAGAUUGAUUUGAGAUCCGGGUAUUAUCAGUUGAAAAUUAAAGAGGAAGAUGUACCUAAGACGGCUUUCCGAACUCGUUACGGACAUUAUGAAUUUCUGGUUAUGCCAUUUGGGUUGACUAAUGCACCUGCAGCUUUUAUGAGGUUGAUGAAUGAGGUAUUCCAGCAAUAUCUUGAUAAAUUUUUUAUUGUUUUUUUUUAUGAUAUUCUGGUAUACUCUAAAUCUAAAUCAGAUCAUAUCCGACACCUUCACUUGGUGUUAAGGAAAUUGAGGGAGCAUCAGUUGUAUGCUAAGUUCAGUAAAUGUCAGUUUUGGUUAACUAAAGUGGCAUUCUUGGGGCACAUUGUAUCGGCUCAAGGAAUUCAAGUUGAUCCUCAAAAGAUAGCAGCGGUGGAGAAUUGGGAGCAACCUUGAACCAUCACUGAGGUACGAAGUUUUCUUGGUUUAGCAGGUUAUUAUCGACGGUUUGUUCAGGAUUUUUCUAUGAUUGCUUUGCCGUUAACGAAGUUGACCAGGAAAGACGUUAAAUUUGAGUGGGAUGAAAAUUGUGAGCGGAGUUUCCAGCAAUUGAAAUAUUGCCUCACUCAUGCUCCAGUGUUGGUACUUCCUGAUGAUAGCGGUAAUUUUGAAAUUUAUAGUGAUGCUUUCUUAAAUGGUUUGGGAUGUGUUUUGAUGCAGCAUAAUAGGGUGAUUGCCUAUGCUUCUCGGCAGUUGAAAAAUCAUGAAAGGAAUUAUCCUACUCACGAUCUUGAAUUGGCAGUAAUUGUUUUUGCUUUGAAGAUUUGGAGGCAUUAUUUGUAUGGUGAGAAGUGUAAGAUCUUCACUGAUCACAAGAGUCUUCAGUAUUUGUUUACCCAGCAUGAUCUUAAUCUUUGUCAGCGAAGGUGGAUGGAAUUGCUAAGUGAUUAUGAUUGUACUAUUGAGUAUCAUCCGGGUCGUGCUAAUGUGGUAGCUGAUGCACUGAGUAGGAAACCUCAAGGUAGACUCAAUGCCUUAUAUGCUUACCGUGUUCCUCUUCUUGUUGAACUGAGGGCAACUGGAGUAAGGUUGGAGUUUGAAAACCGAAGUGGAGCUUUUCUUGCUAGUUUUCAAGUCAGGCCAGUUUUGGUGGAUCGUAUACUCGAAGCUCAGAUGGUGGAUGAGGAAAUUCAGGAGUUGGUUCAAUUAAGAAGUGAGGGGAAAAAGAAAGACCUUAGAAUUCGAGAAUCAGAUGGUAUGCUUAUGCAGGAAAACAGAAUGUAUGUUCCGAAUAAUGAGGAAUUAAAAAAGGAAAUUUUGGAUGAAGCGCAUUGUUCAGCUUAUGCGAUGCACCCGGGAGGAACUAAAAUGUAUCAUACCAUUCGACCAUUUUAUUAUUGGCCGGGUAUGAAAAGGGAGAUUGCUAAGUAUGUGAGUAGAUGUAUUAUUUGCCAGCAAGUUAAAGCAGAAAGAAAGAAGCCAUUUGGGCGAAUGCAGCCACUUCCCGUUCCCCAGUGGAAAUGGGAAAAUAUAACCAUGGAUUUCCUGUAUAAACUUCCUCGUACACGAAACGGAUUCGAUGGUAUUUGGGUGAUUGUGGAUCGACUUACCAAGUCAGCGCAUUUCAUUCCAGUGAGGGAGAAGUACCCUCUGAAUAAAUUGGCUAAGUUGUUCAUUACAAAGAUUGUAAAGUAUCAUGGAGUUCCAGUGAACAUUAUUUCUGAUCGAGACCCGAGAUUUACUUCUAAAUUCGGGGUGGCUUUUCAGGAAGCUCUGGGUACACAAUUGCUUUAUAGCACAACUUAUCAUCCUCAAACUGAUGGGCAAUCAGAGAGGACUAUUCAGACGUUGGAGGAUAUGUUGAGAUCUUCAGUAUUACAAUUUGGUGAUUCCUGGCAUGAUCGUCUAGACUUGAUGGAGUUUGCUUACAACAACAGUUUUCACUCGAGCAUCGGUAUGUCACCAUUUGAGGCACUCUAUGGUAGGGCGUGUCGAACGCCAUUAUGUUGGUCUGAGGUUGGUGAAAGGGUGUUAGAAGGCCCAGAGAUUGUAGAUGAGACUACUCAAAAUGUUCAGGUGAUUAAGUCAAACCUGAAAGCAGCCCAGGACCGGCAGAAGAGUUUAGCGGAUCGACAUACUACUGAUCGAGUGUAUGAUGUGGGUGAUUGGGUGUUUUUGAAAUUGUCACCUUGGAGAGGUGUGGUACGAUUUGGAAAAAGAGGGAAGCUAAGCCCGAGAUGUGAUCACUGAAAGAGUUGGUGAAGUUGCCUACCGGUUGGAGCUGCCUCCGGAGUUAUCUAAGGUCCAUAAUGUGUUCCACGUCUCUAUGCUUCGACAUUAUGUUUCUGAUCCUUCUCAUGUGAUCCAUCCUCAACCGUUAGAGAUUAAUCCGGACUUGACAUAUGAUGAGGAACCAGUCACGAUCUUGGAUUGGAAAGAUAAGGUUCUAAGGAACAAGACGGUGAGUUUGGUGAAGGUGUUGUGGAGGAACCAUUCUGUAGAGGAAGCUACCUGGGAGACAGAAGAUCGAAUGAGAGAGAUGUACCCAAGGUUAUUCUAUGGGUAUUAAGUGGUUUAUUUGGUUAUGGGAAUUUCGGGGACAAAAUUCUAUAAGGACGGGAGAUUGUCACAACCCGUCCCGGAGGUACAUUUGACGGGGAUGUGAAAUGAUGGAUUUGCCCUUAGCGGGCAUUAAGGUACGUGGGUGUGUGAUAUUAUUUGGUCUAACCUUAAAAUGUGUUGGAAGAAAAUUAUAAGAUAAGUUGGAUUAUUAAUUAAAAUUUUUGUUAUGUUGAUUAAGAAUGUGGACAAAUGGAUGGUGGGGAUUGUUUUUGGACAUCACAAACCCUCAUUCUCUCCCUCUCAUUCCCGUGGCUCUCUCUCUCUCCUUCCUCACGACCCCCUCUCUCUCUCUCUCACCCAAACCGUACGGACAACACCAAAACCAACCAAAACUUCAUGGAUCGACAUGGAGAUUAGUAUUAUCGUGUUUGUGAGUGUCCUACGAACUCAAAGAUACCAUUUUUAGGUAAGAAAUCCUUCGUUUUCACGUUCAAAACUCGAGGACCGAAUGUGGCACUAUUCAUGAACUUUAUGUUGGUUGAUUUUUAGGACAAUCCAAGCUCACAGUGAGCUUUAGGAGGUCCUAAGGAAGCUCGGGGACAUUCGUUUGGAAGUUUUGGACGUCGGGAUCGUCGAGUUCGACUUUGGCCGGUUUUGCUUGGAUUUUUCCGGUGAGAUUUACUUGUUUUUAGAGCCUUAAAGUAGUGUAUCGUGAUUCUACAUGUUUGGGCUUCAUUUUGGUAUAAAAUACGAAGAAAAUGGUUGAGAAACGAAGGAGAACGAAGCGUUCAAAGUUUGGCCGGAAACCGGCCGUCGGAAAAACCAGUCUGGCGACUGGCUGAGGAAGAAGGUGCGCGUGGGGGGCGCGUGGACCCGUGCUACCCACGGCACGUGGGGGCGCGUGGGACCUCCAAAAUUUUUUCUAAAAAUUAUGCGACGUUCGUGACGUCGAGUAGGUCGAUGUGGUAUAUUCAUAUACCCAAAUUGAGCAUCGUAUGAGAAGUUAUUUCGAAUUAUUGGUUAUGUGUUUAAAUUAACGUUUUUAUAGUUGUUUCGCAUAUAGGUGACACCUAUCCCGAGGACGAGCUCAUCCAGGGACGCCACGAGGGUUACGACCCUUCGACUUAUCAGUGAGUGGGCAGUUUUGAUUUCGUAUUACUUAUAUACAACUGUUUUUCCUAGAAAAUACGUUUAUGUGAAAAUUAUGAAUCUAUUUGCCAUGCAUGAAACUGUUGAGAUAUUUAGUUUGAUAAUUGAUAUAUAUAUAUAUAUAUAUAUAUAUAUAUAUAUAUAUAUAUAUGUGAAAUGACGCUGUGGACGCUCAGGUGAGUUUAUUUAUUUUCAGCUGAGUUAUUUAUCAUGGAUUGCAUUGAAAGCUCUUAACCUGCACCUACGUGUUAGUGCUUAUAUUGUUAUUCACCACACCGCACGCUCGUCUUGGAUCCAAGUAGGUGGAUGUCGUACAGACCAUGUGAGGGUUCCGACAUGCUUGUCGUACAGAUCACUAGAUGUGGUUCCGACUAGUGGGUGACCUUAGUUAUGCGCGCUCAUGAUUGAUGAGAGAAGCACUAGAGCGUAUUUAUACACCUGUCAUCGUACAGACUACUAUGUGUAGUUCCGAGUGACGUGCAGAGUUGGACCGUACAGGUCACUGAGGUGACUCCGGUUGGAUUAGAUGUUGAGCUUUAGAAUCAGCCGUACAGGACCAUUGUAGGGUCUCCGGUUGAUUUAUCAUUUCACCUGAUUGUUAUUGACGCAUUCUGAUUAUAUUUUGGGCAUGGCAUAUCAUUUCUGAGAUGUUAUGACGAUGGAUAUGUGCUGAGUAAUGAUGUUGGGUAUAUAUAUGUUUAUAUACUAUUUUCGGGGAAAGUAUACAGGUUUUUACGGUGAGGGGUUAGAAAUAUUUUAAAUGAACUGUUUUGGAAAAACGAUUUGGUUUUACUGACCCACUCAUUUUGUUUUGCGCCCCUCUAGGUUCUAGUUAGCGGUUGGUGGCUCUCGAGGUCUUAUUCCGACUUUCUGACAGACUCUUGACAUGUAGGACUCACCUGAGGGUGAUGUACUUUUAUUUUAGUCCUACUUGACUGCACCUAAACCUAUGCUUUGGAUUUAUGUGUUUAUCUUAACUCGUCCUGUUAUUCUAGUAGGUUGUUCUGGUAGAGUUUGGUUUGAAUUCUUUCUUAUAAAUGUUGUUGUUUCGCUUCCGUGUCGCACUUAUGGUUACGUCACGCUCACGUGACGGCCAGCACGCCUGGAUCCUCUGGAUCGGGGUGUGUCACAAAGUACAUCAAAAUAUAUUGUACAACAAAAAUUAAUUUAUCUAAAUGUUUACAACAAAAUAUAUUAUGAUAAAUGAAAUGAAAAUAAAAAUUUUAAUAAAAUAAAAUUAAUACAUUAAAAAUUAGGAAGAAAAAGUGAAAUAAUUAAAAAAAUAAGGUUAUGAAUGUAACAACCCGUUCUUAAUUUUAUGUUUUUAUUAAUUUAAAAGUGUGAAUUUACAAAAAUGCCCUACAGGCAAGGACUUUGACUUUCGUUUACCAUCGUCUAGAGGAACAUAUGACAUAUUCUUUUAGCGUAUCCUUGUAGUACUUGUUGGUGCGAACGCAUAGGCGAAAUCCGUUUGCGAGUCCGGAUGAUAACAGUAUAGUUACGGACUUUUGAAUUUGGUUAUUUAUAUUUCAGUUGUAAAUUAAUUUAACUCCUUCAAGUAGCCCAAUCAAAUUUUAGGCACAAAGGACCAAUCACAUAAUGAGAAGGAGAGCCUUCAGCCAAUCAGAAAAGAAAAGAAAAGAAAAAGAAAAAAAAAAAGGGAAAAAGCUCCCAACUUCCCCGUCACCCACACCUCUGCGACCUCCCAUUUUCCAAGGCCGAUUCCGGCCAACUCCGGUGGAGUUUUUAGACGCCACCACCACCAUCUUGAAGCUCUCAUUCCCCUCUACAAAACCUAACCAAGAACCACCUUGAUUAACCACCGUAUGAGGCGGUUUGAGACCACGAAAGUCGACAGUUCUCAAGGUGCUCCGGCCACCAUUUUCAAUUUUUCGGCGAAUCGGCAAAGCAAUGGCCAAUGCCACUACUUAGGCUUUGUAGCCCAUCAUCCCAGGAGAAAAUCCAAACCAACCUUGACCCUAUUGGACCACCAUAGACGACGAAUUGACAUUGGGAAGCUUUAGGCACCCGCCGGCUUUGUGGGAAAAAUUGACUAUCUUCCGUCAAUUUUUGGACUUCGUGGAUAGUAUGAAAGUUGUUCCUCUCUUUGAGCUCUUCAUUUUUAUGAAUUUUGGUAAUUUUUAGAAAUAGUUGAAUUUUUUGGCAAGUCGGGGUGGCCAACCUCCACCUGCGAUGGUGCGUGGGCCGAGGGGUCCUUUGACCUUCCUAGGCUAAAUUUGAAUACCUUUGUUCCAUUUAUGAAGUCUGAUUGAUAAAAUUCCAUCAUUUGAAUUUAGUCCCAUUAUGGUCCGCCACUUGAUUAUUAUAGCAACCGACGAUCUAACCGUUGGAUCGUCAUUAAAUUUUAAUACAUUAUAGUACGUAAUAUUUGAGGAUAUUAGAAACUUACGGAUUGGGAAUCUGACGUACAGAUCUUCCCAAAUGAAGGGAAAUUUAUGAGAUUCUAGAAUGGGAUUUCAUAAUGACUAUCAUGCAUAUACAAAUCAAAUUUAAUAUACGAAAGCAGCGGAAGCAUUUAUAACAGAUUAUCAAAGCUAUAGUCAUGCAAAUCCCCUUCAAGGUUCAUAGGUUUAUAUAUAAUGCAUCAAAACAAUUUUUAGAAUCAAGAACAAAGUGAAGGUUAGUCUUAUACCUCUUGAUCUAGACUUAAGACCAAGGAUGGACCACCUCCAAGGCCUUUGCUCCUUGAAAUCCUUGAGCCUAGCUUCCCUCCUUGCCUCCUCCACUUUGUUACAAUGAGUGCUCCUAGGUUCUCUUCAAGUUCCCAAAGUAGGAAACCUCUAAAGAUCCUCACCCACUAGUGUAGUGAGAAGGAUGAAGGAAUAACCAAAAGGGUGUAAGAGAGAUUAGUAAAAACCCCCUUUGGUGGCCGGCUUUUGUGGUUCAAGAGAGCUAUUUUUCUUUUGCCUCUUUUGUUGUUCAAAACUCACAAAAACCCUAAUGAACUUUAUCACUAUAAAGUUCCUUAUAUAGACAAAAGAAAACUUAGUCAACACUUGACUAAAUUUCUCUCCUUCCCACAUAAUAUGGCCGGCCCUAUUUGUAUUGUUUGGGCUUUGGGCUUUCAUAUAUUUCAAGUCAUCCAAUGCUUGAAUAAAAGCCCAAUGGGUUUAGGCCCAAUGGGCCCAAUUAAACCCGAACGUUUCUUUAAGCCCAAAACGAUCUUUAUCGCUUUUAUGAUUUCUUUAGACUUUUCUAAAUUAAUCACAACACAUAAUUAAUCCAAUUAAUUGUUUCCAUCAUCCAUUAAUUACUCACUACAAUAGUGUUGUGGUGAACAAUCUUUUAGGUUCUAAUUAGCAAGGCAGUGAGGUGAUUGGCAUUAAUACAAUUGCUUAUAUUUAAUUCAAUCACUUAGUGAAUUAAAACCUCAUUUUAAUUCACCUUUCUUCUUUGACGACUACAUCUAAUCAUCUAGAAGAACUCACAAGCUAUGAGUGACAUCUAACCAUAUGUCAUAGCUACCCAAGCUAAUGUAGAAGUUUAUUCGGAGAACCUAGUCAGUUGGAAUUACAAUGUAAUUCAAUCCUUCUCUAAUACAAUACUCUCAAUCACAUCAUUAGGGUAUGGAUAUAUCAUGUCAAACCCCUAAUGUGAUUAUUCCUUCUUAUAUGAUCCAAUUGAGUCGUUUAGGAACGCUUUCCUUUAUUACGCUCGAUACUUCGGCCGAAGAUUCCCGAAUCAUAUCUUAGAGUAUUCUUCCUCUCUUAUCGAGGAUUAGAGAUUCCUUGUUGCGCAUACACUUGCCUUCAUGACUAAGUGGCUUAACCCCAAUUAUGCCGUGGACACCCUCGAAUGGGGAGACUUUGACAUAAUCAAAGAUUAAGUACUUAACCACAAGACAACGACGAUGCCUCAGGUCUAAGGAUUACUUACAUCUUUCCAACCAUUAGAGUUACUUGCUUGACAUGUGAGUAGACCUCCAUGCAAGUACUCCCGUUCGAUUGUGUUCAGUGAACUCAUUCCCUUAAUGAGCACCUACAUACUUGUCUUAGUGUCACAACACGAAUGGGAUGAGACUUUCCAUCCUUCCAAUUGAAGCAGACAUAGUAUGUACCGGUCUACGCAUUGUCAGUAUCCCUCCGACAAUCCAAUGACCAGGAACCUUUUUGGACAUCUGUUUAUGUGAAGAAGGUCUCUGUAGUCUAACAUCAUUAGAUUACUUCUUCAAUCGAUCCAUUGUCCAUGGAUUCACUAUUCAGGACAUAUUUCGUUUAUUGAGAUAGUCCUAAUUAGUAUCUUUGCCAUUUGAUGUAUAAGAAUCAUCCAUACAUCGAUUCAUUUGUCCUGAAAGAUUUCUUCCAAAGAUUGACUUUCAGGGCAUAUUUCCAACAAUCUCCCACUUGCACUAAAGUCAAUCACUAGUGUAUCUCAUACAUCUUGUCGAGAGAGUUUAUGCUCGUAGGUUAACUUGGUUAUGUAUUAAUCUCUUUUAUUAAAAGAGAUUUACUUAUCAAAUGUUUCCAAGACAUUUGAUGAUGUCUCUUUAAUGUGUUCGAAUACUUUGAUGAGACCUUGAUUCCAUGGCUUGAGCUAUCGCCCCAUUACGUCGUAGUACUCUACUAACGACCUUAUGGUUUGGAUUCAAUCAUGGGUUCUUAAAAGAACCCCUUUCAUUCAAAACACCUUUUGAAGCAGUUUCUAAAACAUAUAUAUUUACAUAUAUUUCGUUUGUAUACUUUAUACAAACUUUGCUUCAAUCUUGAGACCAUUGUAGUACAAUACUAACAAUUCAUUCAUAUGAUUAGUACUUCAUCCAUCAUGAAGUUCCAUUUGUUAAAAUGGCUUAUUUUCACUUUGGUUAACAACCUAAGUGAAUGCACGCUUCCAGAGUCCCACUCUGAUGUUUCUUUCUUAAAGGGCAAUAAUACUCUAUCAGUUGCUUUGGUUCUGAUCCUGGGAUAUAGUAAUAUCUUAAAGUGAUUAACUCAGUGGUUUCUUCACCUUUGGAUAUCUACUUCACAAGUCAAUACAUGUGUCCCUUUUUUUUUGUGAUUUUAUGACACAUUCAUUAUAAGGGUUGUGAAAGUGAUUUCUUAUCACAUAGGAAAAUGCUUUCUUAAAUCUUCAACAUUUGAGAUUUAAUUCCCAUAUAACAUUAUUGAGAUAGCCUUGCUAUAUCAGUAAGUCCAAUUUCAAGUCUAUACUUCAAAAUUGACCGUGUCAUGUUUUGUCAUUUUCGAGUAACAUCUAUGUUUCAUCAAGUCUAUCAAAUAGACUUUAUUCAUAUCUUGUUGCUCAAAUUAUGACAUCACUCCCACUGGCCUUGUUGUAACUUAGCAUUCAUUCAAAAAUAACAUUUAUAUUUUCUUGAUUUGAAUGCGUGUUGCUCCCACUAACUUGUCUUGGAUCCAUUGAGAUCCAUUAGCUUAUUGAUGAUAUCUCAACAAUUUUUGAGACCAUCAACAACCCUGGCUAACACAAGUUAUUUAAAUGAAUCACAUACAAAAGAAUUCCUUCUAAAGUAAUUCCUUUUGAAUAUGUGACUUGUUUUAUCAAGUCUAUUCAUUUAAUUAUAUGAUGUCAUACACCAUACUAUAAGUUUUAGUCAUACUAAGACCUUUUAAUGUAGUGAUAUAAGAAUUAUCUAAGUCUUUAGUGGAAGCAUGGCUCCUACUAAGGAUAUAGAUACUCAACCAUUCCUUCUAGGUGGUUGAUAUAAUUCUCUAUCAAAACUACAUAGAGCAAUAUCGUUACAUGAGAUGUUGAAUUUGGAUUGUCUUGUUGUUAAACCAUAUGUUGUGACUCAUUUUGAAACUUAUUCCCUUUUGUUUCAUCAACUUGUCCAUAUGCUUUGUCAUUAGCAUGUUCUCAUAAAAGAGAAUGAUGGACAACUCCCAACAUAUAACCAUUUUAUGCUAGGUUGACGAAACCAACAUUCAAAGACUAUUCUUUAAAUGUUACACAACAUAGAAUUUUAACGUUUGAAGAGCUUGAGUCCUUUUAACAAUUAAAAUUACAAACUCUUAAUAAUAGUCAAGCACUAUUAUUCUUUAGACAACUAUAAACCAAUCACAUUCAAGUUUAUAUCCAUUUUCACACCUCCCACUAUUUCUCAUGACUAUAAUGAGAAAUCAUUUCAUACAUUCAAAAUGUAUAAAAGUGGAUUAUAUUGGUAGAAGACAUUGUGUAGUAGCUUUGAAACAUUUCAAGCUUAUUUGUUUCAAUCUUCACUAAGUUUAAUGUCUUGUUAUUUAAGUGACUAAAGUCUUUAAACCUUUUAUAGAUUUAGACACUUCUUUCUUGGUUUAAUCACUAACACAAUUUACAUUUUAAAACAAUUUUAAGAAUGCCCAAUUAAUUGUUCAAAACUAUUAAUUGAAUCAAGAGUGAUCUUGAUCAUUGUGUUUCAAGUGAUAACCUUAUAAGAAACGUUUUUCUUAUUACUUAUAUCAUUGUAAUGUGAUCUUCCUUUUCUUCAAGAAAGGAUUCUCUAGACUUUUGUCAAUUCAUAUAGAACUCAUAAGUAGACAAAUGGAACCAAAUCUAAAGAUUCAUUGUAUCCUUUUAUGUCCUACAUGUGAGAUCUAUCCAUAAUUGAUAAAUCUAAAGUUUGGUUUAUCAUAUUACAAUUAAGUGAUAUAACUCUUGUAUCUCAUCUAGGAUACAACAAGACAAUUUUCAAUUCAUAACACUACUUUAAGGAAAUAGUAUAUUAAAAGGGCAUACUUCACAUUACAUUAAUAUGAUAGUUCAAACAUUCAUAAUGUUUAAUACAAAAGGUAUUAGCUCUAUACAUUUAGAGACUAAUAUAAAUGCCUUUAUACAUUUAGGCACUAAUAGUGGCCUUCCAUCAAAUGAAGCCAUAUAAUUAGUUCUUAACAAAAUAAGAAAGUUUAAAGACAAUCUUUAAAUGCCUAACAAACUUCCUAAGUAGUAAGCAAAAACAUGGUGGCCGAACUCUUCUCCACACUUUUCCUUGCUUGUUCCUCUUCUACUUGGCUCCUCCACCUAUAUACAAUUAUACAAGUGAUUAGCCCUUUAUAUCAAAUAUAAAUUUUUAGAAGAUCUAACAAUUAGAAUUGAAGAUAAGAACAUAAACCAUACCUUGUGGCUUGUCCUUAAGAGUUGCAAGGUAUAACCUGCAAUUCCUCUUCCAAUGCCCCUCCUUUCCACAGUGGUGGCAAGUCCCUUUGGGCUCCAUUGCCUUCUUUUUCCUCACUCCUCCUUUCGGCUUAGGAGUGGGGGACUUCUUCUCCUUCCCUUUGCCUUUGCCUUGCGGCUUGGCCUUGGAAGAGGAUGGCUUAUUGUAGGCUACUGCAGCAGUCCCUACAACGUUCUCUUUCUUCAUAGUCUUCUCGGCGGUUACUAACAUGUUUAGUAACUCGGAGAGAGUGCUAUCCAUCUUAUUCAUGUUGUAGUUCAUUACGAACUGCGAGAAUGAAUCAGAAAGAGAAGCCAAUAUGAAGUCCUGGGCUAAUUCCCCGUCAAGUGGAGUACCAAGGUUCUCCAAUUGUUCAAUGAAUCCUAUCAUCUUCAGUACAUGUUGGUGUACUGGAGCCCCCUUGACCAUCUUGGUCUUUACAAGCUCACAGACAGUGCUAAAACGACGGUUGCGCGUCCCUUCGCCAUAUAACUCCGUAAGAUGGAGUAUUAUGGAAAAUGCACUGUCCAUGCCCUCGUGCUGUCUCUGUAGCUCCUCAUUCAUGGAAGCCAACAAAUAGCACUUGGCUUGUAUAUCAUCCUCAACGUGCUUGUCAUACUUAGCACGUUCAUCCUCAGUAGCCUCAGGGCUAAGAGGUAUGUGAGGUGGAGCCUUGUCUAGUACGUAAACAAUCUUCUCCAAUGUUAGGAGAAUCUUGACAUUACGAUACCACGAUGGGAAAUUGUGCCCCUCUAGGCAAUGUUUGUCGAGUAUUUUCGCGAGUGUGCUUCCAACCAUAUCUAUAUACAUAAACAAAUAAAAUAAUUAGAUUGAUUGUUGUUUAAGUCAAACGAUUUGGGUCUUUAAACCGAAUGACACCACCCACCAUUUUUGGCAAAUUCCAUAUCCCCCAUAAUGGAAUCCGGGAGAUUUCAAAGAAAGCUCCUAGCGGGUUAUGGGAGGCUCACUAUUACCAAGCCCACCUCACGAUGAUACGAUGUCGGCUAGCAACAAUAAUAAUGAGAGGGUACAAGUACCCAUUCACAACAACCUCUUGUGAUUACCCAUCUUUUUGGCCUCUAGAAAAUAAUACCUCACGAUGAUACGAUGUUGGCAUUAUGUUUCUUAGUUAAGUUCUUUCCCACCAUGCCGGUUUAGCUAGGGGUUCAAGCAUGACCUCACGAUGAUACGAUGUUGGCCAUACUCGUUGCCUACCUUAACCUCAUCAAAUGUUUUUAAAUAAACUCCUCCUGAAUAUAAGCAUGCACUUUGUCACUUCCCCAUGAUAGGGUGAAGGCGGUGUACAAGUCAUAAACGCUUGGAGCCUACCACGGUGGAAGGCCACGAAAAAGUGUUCUAAGCACUUUUACGCUUACAACUUAAUAUUGUUUGGUUGAGGGAUUUUAAGGUCUCAUCAAUUUUAUUUAUUUAAUCACAAUCAAAUAAAUUGUCCUAUUAUAACUACUAGUCCAAAGUUAAUGAAUUUAGUAGCAUAUAAUAUCCCCACUAUUCGUUUUCAUAAAACAAAUCAAUAUCAAAACAUUUUUCAAAAUAUUGGAGAUAUUUAUAUAACUACUAAUUGUAUUCAUUAUAGUCUAGUAGCGUAUGAUACUCCCACUAUUUGUUUUGAGAAAAACAAAUCAAUAUCAAAACCAAAUUUUUCAAAUAUUCGAAGUAACUACUACUACUAAGGUUUUUGCAUUCCUUUGAAAUUGGACUUUAUAGUUAUCUUAGGCUCUUGGAUGACUAUGGACUUAUUAGGUUAUUGCAACAACGAGCCAUCAUUGUUGAAUAUAAACUCAGGGAGGUUGUGUCAAUUUAAUUACGUGCUUAUCAAUCCAAUUAAAACCAUUUUAAUUGAGCCAUUAGAAAUGAAAGACAAUCAUACAUUGCUAAUUUGGGCAUUGGACCCUUUUAAUCUUUAAUCUCAUGUCAAAACCCUCUUUUAGUUAUGUCUCCUUACCAAUAGUUAAAGAAACUCUAGUCUAGCACUAGAGGGAAUCCACUAACGAAUAGAGAUUAAGAAGUAAUAAGAAUUACAAACCGAUUUGUACAAAUUCCUAUAAAUUACAUAUACUAAAAGGGGAGAUAAAGAUUAAUGUCAAACGUGACAAGGUCCAAUUAAACAGUAAUUAAAACACAUUCCCAAGGUUCAAACAAUUUGAUUUUAGCGCCUUGUCAAAUAGUUCAAUUAUCGUUUAAGGCAUAAGUCCAAAGUCACCCAUUUUAUAACUACUUAAACACAUUUAAAUAAUCAUAAUGGAAUGCAACAUAAACAUUUAGAUUUAGUGCAUAUGGGCAUAAUAGUAUUAUGAGUUUAAACAACUAACAAAAUUAAAAUCAAAUAUUUUAACUUUCUAGUUAGUAGGGCCUAAAUGUAAAUAUGAAAAGUUAGGGGUAAAACCGUAAAUAUUUCAAAGUAAAUAUCAACUUUUCAAAGAUUACAAAAUAGCCCCACAAGUGGAUAAAUCCACUAGGGAGGCCGGCCACAUUAAGGGGAUGGGAGUUCUCUUACACAAUCUUACACAACAUGCAUUAAAAGCCACAUUAUGUAAGAAAAAUUAAAUUUUGCUUGUCACUUGGUUUUGCAAUUAAAACUUAGGUGAGAUGGGUGAUGGAAAUCCUCCUAGUCAAGUCUAGGGUUUUAUAAAAGUUUUAAUAUGGUUAUGGAUGGUAAGAACAUCAUCCAAAACCAUAAAACCAUGCAUGAAAACCAAUUAAAACUAUUUUCACCCAAAACCAAACCAUGAACACCAAGAACAAAACCAUGAACACAAUAUCAAGAUUUGUACAUUCUUGGUGAUUUUUCAAACCCAAAAACAAAAGUGACAAGAACACUUCUUUUAAGCUUUAAUAGGAUGUGUGAGUGGUUUACAAUAAAACACAAACACAACCCAAAAAACACCCCCAAAACCGUGCCUACCCUUUUGAACAAACCCCAAAUUUUGUUCAUGACUUAUUCUUCAUUCAUGCAUACAAAACAACUUUUACAUGCAUAUCUUUUUCAACUCUUGAUUUAUAUUUUUCAACCAUUGAAAAACAAAAGACAAACAUACUUUUAAAUGAAGAAAUAAUUUGUCAAACUAGUUUUAAACUCAUUUUUCAUUCAUGCAUACAAAACAUCUUUUGCAUACAUAUCUUUCUCAACUUUUGACUAACAUUUUUCAACUAUUGAAAAACAAAAGAUAAACAUACUUUGAAUGAAACAAUAAUAUGUCAUACAUAACAUUAAUACCCAUAUGCAUAAAAUCCAAAAGGACACAUUAUAUAUAAACCAUUGGCUCUGAUACCACUUGAAGGGAAAUUUAUGAGAUUCUAGAAUGGGAUUUCAUAAUGACUAUCAUGCAUAUACAAAUCAAAUUUAAUAUACGAAAGCAGCGGAAGCAUUUAUAACAGAUUAUCAAAGCUAUAGUCAUGCAAAUCCCCUUCAAGGUUCAUAGGUUUAUAUAUAAUGCAUCAAAACAAUUUUUAGAAUCAAGAACAAAGUGAAGGUUAGUCUUAUACCUCUUGAUCUAGACUUAAGACCAAGGAUGGACCACCUCCAAGGCCUUUGCUCCUUGAAAUCCUUGAGCCUAGCUUCCCUCCUUGCCUCCUCCACUUUGUUACAAUGAGUGCUCCUAGGUUCUCUUCAAGUUCCCAAAGUAGGAAACCUCUAAAGAUCCUCACCCACUAGUGUAGUGAGAAGGAUGAAGGAAUAACCAAAAGGGUGUAAGAGAGAUUAGUAAAAACCCCCUUUGGUGGCCGGCUUUUGUGGUUCAAGAGAGCUAUUUUCUUUUGCCUCUUUUGUUGUUCAAAACUCACAAAAACCCUAAUGAACUUUAUCACUAUAAAGUUCCUUAUAUAGACAAAAGAAAACUUAGUCAACACUUGACUAAAUUUCUCUCCUUCCCACAUAAUAUGGCCGGCCCUAUUUGUAUUGUUUGGGCUUUGGGCUUUCAUAUAUUUCAAGUCAUCCAAUGCUUGAAUAAAAGCCCAAUGGGUUUAGGCCCAAUGGGCCUAAUUAAACCCGAACGUUUCUUUAAGCCCAAAACGAUCUUUAUCGCUUUUAUGAUUUCUUUAGACUUUUCUAAAUUAAUCACAACACAUAAUUAAUCCAAUUAAUUGUUUCCAUCAUCCAUUAAUUACUCACUACAAUAGUGUUGUGGUGAACAAUCUUUUAGGUUCUAAUUAGCAAGGCAGUGAGGUGAUUGGCAUUAAUACAAUUGCUUAUAUUUAAUUCAAUCACUUAGUGAAUUAAAACCUCAUUUUAAUUCACCUUUCUUCUUUUGACGACUACAUCUAAUCAUCUAGAAGAACUCACAAGCUAUGAGUGACAUCUAACCAUAUGUCAUAGCUACCCAAGCUAAUGUAGAAGUUUAUUCGGAGAACCUAGUCAGUUGGAAUUACAAUGUAAUUCAAUCCUUCUCUAAUACAAUACUCUCAAUCACAUCAUUAGGGUAUGGAUAUAUCAUGUCAAACCCCUAAUGUGAUUAUUCCUUCUUAUAUGAUCCAAUUGAGUCGUUUAGGAACGCUUUCCUUUAUUACGCUCGAUACUUCGGCCGAAGAUUCCCGAAUCAUAUCUUAGAGUAUUCUUCCUCUCUUAUCGAGGAUUAGAGAUUCCUUGUUGCGCAUACACUUGCCUUCAUGACUAAGUGGCUUAACCCCAAUUAUGCCGUGGACACCCUCGAAUGGGGAGACUUUGACAUAAUCAAAGAUUAAGUACUUAACCACAAGACAACGACGAUGCCUCAGGUCUAAGGAUUACUUACAUCUUUCCAACCAUUAGAGUUACUUGCUUGACAUGUGAGUAGACCUCCAUGCAAGUACUCCCGUUCGAUUGUGUUCAGUGAACUCAUUCCCUUAAUGAGCACCUACAUACUUGUCUUAGUGUCACAACACGAAUGGGAUGAGACUUUCCAUCCUUCCAAUUGAAGCAGACAUAGUAUGUACCGGUCUACGCAUUGUCAGUAUCCCUCCGACAAUCCAAUGACCAGGAACCUUUUUGGACAUCUGUUUAUGUGAAGAAGGUCUCUGUAGUCUAACAUCAUUAGAUUACUUCUUCAAUCGAUCCAUUGUCCAUGGAUUCACUAUUCAGGACAUAUUUCGUUUAUUGAGAUAGUCCUAAUUAGUAUCUUUGCCAUUUGAUGUAUAAGAAUCAUCCAUACAUCGAUUCAUUUGUCCUAAAAGAUUUCUUCCAAAGAUUGACUUUCAGGGCAUAUUUCCAACACCAAAUUGGAAUUGUAAGUUCGUAAAAUAAAACAUUGACCACCACUUGAAUUGGCAAUUGGAGGAGAUCCAACCGUUAGAUCGUAAUGAAACUUUAGUAUGUUGUUUUAGAAGCACAAUGUGGAUCUUUGGAAGUUACGGAUCAAAAAUCUAAGAUGUGGAUCUUCUGGAUCGAGUUACGUAGGGUUGUGGACCCUACCGUCGAUCCUUGACCAACGAUUGACGUUUGGUCAAUGGGUCCCAAAUCAUUCUAGAACGUCCUUGGGGAUAUGUUUUAUGUAAGUUACAUGUUUUAUCGAUGAGAACUCUGAGAUGUGAUUUGAUAAUUGUUAUAGGCGAUGAUGGUUCAUGAUGUCUCGAUUUUCGUGUUAGGGAGUCCUAGUGCGGACCUCCGGUGAGUGGGUUUUUUUCUUUUAUCGUAUAUAGAUAUGACAGAUAAUUCCACAAAUGCUUUGAAAUUGUUCUAUGCAUUUUAUGCCAUGUUAUAUAUAUGUUAAAAUACUAUCGUACGGUUAAGUUUUAGAUUGCAUUAUGGUAUAUCUAUAUGCAUAUUAUCGGCAUAUAAUUACUGUUAAUGCUUUGAAGUACUAAGUUAAACUACGAAUGGCUUGAUCUUGUUUUAGGGUACGUAGGCAGUCUAACAAGACUAUUAGAUGUAGCCAUAAAAUAAUCCAAAUUUAACAUGGUACUUGGUUUCUUUAAAGAAAGAAGUUAUGAUGGUUAACAUCGUAGAGAUUAACCAUCAUUUUAUUCUGGUCUAUCACUGGGUUUAGUUAUGAUUAAGAAUGUUGGGACGUUAAAAUGGUUAUGCCAAAUGACACUGCGGAUGCCCCGGUAAGCUUUAGGUGAGUACAUGUUGAUGACAGUGAUUUCAAUGUGUAUGGUUAUAUUUUUAUGCAUUUAAUACUCAUUAUCCUGCACCUCAGUGUUAGUGCUUCUCCCGAGGAUAGGGCCAAGCCUUCAUGUGAUCGUAGCACUUAAGCCUAUUUAUUUACACCCAACCUGUCGUACAUACCACAUUAUGUGGUUUUGACUUAUGUGCAAGAAUUGGUAGAUGAGCUAUAUAGGUAACUCCGGCAUAGUCGUACAGGUUGCAAUGAAUAGGAAACUGCGACACUGUCGUACAUAUUGCCUAUGAGUCGUACAGGUCACUAUAGGUGACUCCGACUUAGGUGCUAGCAUUGAUUGAUGAGAUAUGGAUGAGUCAUACAGGUCACUAUAGGUGAUUCCGACUUAUGUGCUAGCAUUGAUUGAUAAGAUAUGGAUGAGUUGUACAGGUCACUAUAGGUGACUCCGACUUAUGUGCUAGCAUUGAUUGAUGAGAUAUGGAUGAGUCGUACAGGUCACUAUAGGUGACUCCGACUUAUGUGCUAGCAUUGAUUAAUGAGAUAUAGGGGAGUCGUACAGGUCACUAUAGGUGACUCUGACUUAUGUGCUAGCAUUGAUUGAUGAGAUAUGGAUGAGUUGUACAGGUCACUAUAGGUGACUCCGACUUAUGUGCUAGCAUUGAUUUAUUGAGCAUAUGAUUAUUUAUAUCGCUCAUGAGAUGCUGCGUGAUGUGAAAUAUAUAAGCACACAAAUUAAACCCUCUUUUUAUCAAUUGUAGUAAAGUAUGUAAGUAGGGAUCGUUCUAGGCCGGGGAUUAGGAGGGAUUGCUAAAUCACUUGGAAACUGACUUGAAAACGUAAAAACAAAGUUUAAAACACUAACUAGACUCAAAGAAUGCAAAACUAUACUUUAAAACACUAAAACAAACCAAAAGACUCAAAACAGCCCCUAAACACUCAAAACUACCUUAAAAACACAAUCUGGGCAAUUUUGGGACUCUCACACAAACUUGGACAAAUUUUGGUUUUCUAAUGAACUAAAACACUUAAAAACAUAAUCUAAGACAAGUUCUAAUUAAUAUGACUCAAAGAAAUAAGAUGGGGUUGAUUUUCGACGAAAAUAAUUAAAUUAAGACAAGAACAAAUUAAACAAAUUCUUAGACAAAUUUGGGUGAAUCAAAACACUCUAACACACAACCAAAACAGAAAUUAAACACUUUGAAACAAUAAAGUAAAAGGGGGAUUUUGGUUUUAAUGAAUUUGAAAACAAAACAACUUUGUAAAACAAAACAGAUUGUAAGUGAAUUUGAAUGAAACUUAUGGAUGGAAGAUUAGCUAGGAGGUUCUUCUCCACAUAUGUCACACUUGCAUACAAAACGAUUUCCAGUUGCUUUUCGAUAAGCUAUGAAUACUCAACGCCCCAAAUUAACCGUGAAUUGCACUAAUUAACCCUCAGUUUUUUCCACAAGUUAUUAGGUAGGAUGAUUGCAUACGACAACCCAAAACAUUCCCUACAAGUUCCCUACAUGAAUUGCAUAAUAGAGAUACAAGCAAGAAUCAUUAAGUUCUAUGAAAAACAUAAGCAUUGACGAGGCACUCGUUACUAUGAUUUGCAUGAAACUUAUGCCAAGAGUUUACUUAACGUGAUUGUGACUAGCAACCUUCACUACUUGUGAAUAUAAGUUUAUAACGAUUAGGUGAAACUCCCUUAUAUUCUAGCGUCAAAUUCAUGCAUGAAAAUUAAGCGUGCACUCUUAACCAACAUACACAAAUUAGUUUUUAUAUGAACGGAUAAGUAAAUUGAAUUCACAACUUAUGAAUCACAACUGGAUGUAAUCAAAUCAUAUUGCAAGUAUGAACAUAGUUUCGAAUCACCCCCUAACUAAGAGGGGUUUAGUUCCUCAUACUCACAAAGCAAAGAUACAUAAAAUUAGACAUUAAAAUCAAAGGAAAGAAAACACCUAAAAUGCUCCAACUUGGUAGCAAGUGCAUCCAAGAUUCCUCAUUUCCCUAUGCUUGCGGCAGAUUGGGUUAUGGAUAGAUUUUGGGUAGUUUUAUGAUGUAGAAUGGAUGGGGAAUGGUAUGGAAGGGUUUAGGGUGAGUGUGGAGGAGUGUUUGAUGGUUGGAGGGUGGUGGAGAACUAGGCAAAGAGGGUGGAAGAAGGUGGAGUGGCUGUUAUGUUUUCUAGGCACUAGAAUGGUGUUUUUGGGGUGUUUUGCUUCCUAGGGUGUGUAUGGACGAAUUUUUGUGAUAAAAUGAUGAAUAUGGGGGAAUGUCCUUUGGCCAAGGGGUGUAAACAUGUAUUUAUAGGCCCCAAAAACCUUAGAAAAUCAGGUUAGGUUAAGGAUGAAAUGCAUGGCAAUUUGUGUGUGUGGUGUGCAAUGGUCCAAGGGUGAAAAUGAAGUAAUGAUGCAAAGUGUGAAGGGUAAAAUGGAGUGGUGUUGUAGCUAGGGAGCAUGAAUGAUUGUGUACAUUGCAUAGAGAUGGAAAGGGAGGUGAAAUGUGUCAACAAAUGGGUCAAAGGUGCAACAACAUGUGUUGCACAUGGCAUUGGAUUCCAAAUGUGAAUGAUGGAGCAUCAAUUGGUGCAUGUAAUGGAUGUAAAUGUUGUCUAAAAUCUAAUGAGUGAAGGGAACAAGAGGUAUCAAGCAAUUGAGUGUAAUAAUUAAAUGAAUUGAAGCAUGAAAUCAGAAAUUAUGUAGGGGACAAGAGUGAUCAAGCAUGGCAUGGGAAUCCAAAGGGAAUUCUAUGUGGUUUGCAUGGCAAGGAAUGCAAGUUGGGGUGACAGAUUUUUGGGCUGUUUUCUUCAUCUUUUGGACCAUAAUUCUUCAUAUUCUUGGCCUCUUUAGUUCUCAAAUUCGUCCAUCCACUUUGGCCCAUGCAUUUGCUAUCCAUUCCAAGCCCCAUUUUGCUCCAAAAUGCUCCAAAAUGCAUCUUCUUGCCUACUUUGUCCAUAAAAUCUGAAAACACACGAAAAUGACUUUAAACAUUAAAAUAACUAAGGAAACACGACAUAAAUGCACAAAAACAAGCCAACUAAGUCGCAUAAAUAUGCUCCUAUCACUGCGUCGUGGUAUAUUUAUGGAUUUACUGUUGAUACUUUUGAUUUUACAUUGAUACAUGGUAUGAUUUUUUUUUAAACUGUACAGGUGUUACAGCGAGGGGUUAUAACGACGUAGAAGGUUUUUAUUAAAAUUUUAUUUCCAGGGCCACUCACCCUUGCUUUGUUUCCACCCUCCAGGUUUUUUUAGCUAAGCUUUCGUAUCAACAAGGAUUCAGGGCAAAUUUUGGUAUUGGAGAUUACCUUCAAUGGUAUGAUUCUCAAUCCACUCUACUGUACUUUACUUAUGCUCUGACAUCACGUGUGAAAUGGGUUCAUUUCCGCUUACAGCGUACUCUUGUAUUUAGACACUUUUAGAUUUAAAUUUAUUCACAUUUUUCCCACAUCACUAUACUUUAUGGCUUUGUCACCCUCUUGGUGUCGACUAACACAACUCGAUUUGGAGUCCAAGUGGACUUUUCGGGUCAGGGUGUGUCAAUUAAUGUAUCAAAGGACUAAAAUUAGAUUUUGAUCUUACUCAUGGUUUUGAUCUAAAAGUCAUCUUUACCAAGGAUUAAAAUGAAGCUUUCUAUAAAGAUAACCUUUAAACAAUUAAUGAUUAAUAUAUAAACAAUUCGAUCACAAUAAUUACAUUGUUGUAGGUAUAAUUUACUGAACAAUUAUAGAGGCCAGAGAGACGGAAGGUGCGGCAUAGAGAGAGAAGAGAGAGAUGUGUAAUUGCGGGUGUGUGUUAUUCCACCCCAUUAUGCCUUUAUUUAUAGUAGUAGGGAAGGUUAAUUCAUUUCCCUUUAGGAUUACAACAUUUAAAAGGUAAUCUACUCCUAAUAGGAAUAUGAGAGAUAUUCCAAGAUAUACUAGGAUUUACACAAUCACAUUCCUAAUCUAAUAGGACUGCAACACUCCCCCUUGAGUGUGUAAAUACUCAAGAAAAUGACGCAUUAGAUCUUCAAUGAUGAAGCAAGUACAAUAAAUGAAGUCGUCGGCACAAUGAGCGAAUGCGAGUCUCAAAUCAACGGAAGAAUGCAUAAAAAGUAAAACUCACAAAACCUCGCUAUGGUAAAACCCAAGGUAGGAGAAAAACACAUAGUCUAAGGAGAAAAGUGAGAAGUUGCAUUGAGUCAAAACUAUACGUCUUUUGGACGCAAGUAGAAGAGCUCACAGGGCAUGAUCAGCCCAGGAUGGGUGCCUUGUUAAAACCUAGUUAGGUAGCAAAAACCCAGUGGGAAAAAUGCUCCUAAUAGUGGGGGAAAAGAGUACAUUAAGAUCAAGUGAGUAUACUUCUGGAUACUCCCCCUGAGUUUAACAUAACUUCCAAAUGAGAACUACAAGCAUUGCAUAUGAUAAUUUGGCAUACCAAUUCCUCAUACAAGCUUCUAGAAGGUUGACUUCAGUAAUGACAUCAUGUAGAGGUCAGCAAGGUUGUCUGGGAUUGGCUUGCAUGACUUCAAUCUCCUGAUGCUUUGCUAAUGUAGAUGUAGACACAAUAUGUCUUGCCGUUGACUUCACUGAUGUAUCAUGACUUGGUCAGGUGGAUACAUGCGACAUAGUAUUCAUGGAUUGUCAUUGGGACUCAACGAUAGAUCAAAACACAACAAGUACUUCAAAUAUGCUCAACAAGAAUGAAGGAAAAAUUUUGUCCUAGCUAAGAACAAGUAUGAACAUUUGAAUACACAUGCAAGCUAUCAACACUUUAAAGUAGGCAUGCAUCCAAAAACAAUUCAUAAAACCCAUGACUUUCAAAGCCUAGUAUAUGGUGAACCAAAAUAAACUCUUUAACAAAAUUAAAGAGAAGUAAAGAUUUUGUGAUUCUUUACCCUUGAAGCUCAUCCUUGUUUACACAAGGGAUUCACCCAAGUGGAGGGCCUUCAAGUCACCUCCAAGCUCCUUGAAUCCUCCUGUGUUUUCCUCCCUUUAGUGCUCCUUUGAUGAUUAGAGGAAAAAAGGAUUUGUUCUCCAAAAACAUCAAAAGCUUGAUGUCUCUAAGUCUCUUCACCAAGGUUGUAUAUUGUGAAGAUGAUAUGGAUGACUUAGAGAGAUUUUAGAUGCUAGUAAAAAUCCUCUAAGUGGCCGGCCUCUAUGUAGAAAAAAGAGAGAAAAAUGUUUCACCCAAUUUCUAUUAGAAAACCCUAAUGAGAAAAUUGCUAUAUAAAGUUCCUUUUAUAACAUUUUCUUUGGUGAGUGGCAAACUUGUAAUUAAGCAAGCUUUGCCCAUUCACCCUAAUGGCCGGCCUCUCCUUGUUAUUGGGCUAAUUUGCCCAUUUUGUUUUAGUUGUCAUACAACUUAAACAUAAUGGGCCUUGUGGACCAAAACACUUUUGGGCCCCGAAACCCAAAACCAACAUAUAAGCCCAAUACGAACCUUUCGUAUAAUUAAUUAACUAAUUAAUUAAUCUUGACCAUUCUUCAAUUAAACCAUUUAAUUGCUUAUCCAUUUCAUAUAAUUUCUUCACUAACAUCCUUAUGUGGUGUGCGAUCCAUUAGGUUCCAAAAUAGCGAGGCAGUGGGCGAUGUUACUCUUAACGAUCGAUUGUGAAUUGAAACCACAUUUCAAUUCUCCCUUAAGAUUAGUGUUUGCUAAUCUUCAGGGCUUCCACAAACCAUGAGUGACACCUAGCAGCAUAUCAUGGUUACCCAAGCUAAGUAGAAUUGGUUGGAAAACCUAUCCAGUUACAACUACAAUGCAAUACGGUCCUUCUCUAAUACAAUACUCUUAAUCACAUUGUUUAAGUGAUAGUUUGUUUCAUGUCUACUAUCCAAUGUGAUACUUUCCUAUAUGAUUCCUUUGAAUAUGAUUUGGAACAAACUUCCUAAGUCAUAUUCAUAUGCUUUGGCCAAAGACUUUAGAAUCAUAUCUUAGAGUAUUCUCCUUCCACCAUGGAAGGUUAGAGAUCCCUUGUUGUGCAUUCAUAUGCCUACAUGACUAGAUAGCUUGACCCCAACAAUGCCGUGGACAACUCCGAAGGAAUGCCAUUGACAUGAUCAAAGAUCAAGGACCUAACCAUUAGACAUCUAUGAUGCCUCAGGUCAAAGGACUACUUUGCAUAUUGCAACUUUAGAGUUCAUACAUGACAUGUAUGUUCGAACUCUCUUUUGAUCGACGUUCAGUGUACUCGAUUACUCUUUCGAGCACCUAUGUGUUUGUCUCAGUGUCCAACACCAAAUGACUUGAGACUAGUUCAUACUCACGUUUGAGUCAACAUAACACAUACUAACCUUAGCGGAUUGUCAAUGCCCAAUUGGCAAUCCUAUGGCUAGGAACGUUUUAGGAAUGAACAUAAGAGUGAGGUCUCGAUAAUCUAACUCACUUAGAUCACUUCUCUCUUAGAACAAAUACAUUCCUUGGAUUCCCUUAUUGCUUAAACACAUGAUACAAUAAAUAGUGAUUAACAAUAAGCUUUGCCCUUCAUUAAACAUAUAAAAGUUUAAUACAAUAAGUAUUCCAAAAAGCUAUUACAUCAAAUGAGUGGCUUUGUGGGCAUACUUCCAACAAUCUCCCACUUGCACUCAAAGCCAUCUUCCCAUGUAUCUAAUACCCAUCUUAUCCAUAUGACGAUCAAGCUGGAUUUGAGACAUUGGCUUUGUCAGUGGAUCUGCUACGUUAUCGGCUGAGGCAACUUUGAGGAUGUUGACUUUCCCCUCGGCAGCAUAUCUUCUAAUGAUAUUAAAGCGCCUAUCAAAAUGCUUGUUCUUUUGAUGUGCCCUGGGUUCCUUGGCUUGAGCUAUCGCCCCACUAUUAUCACAGUACAAAGUUACUGGUGAUGUAAUGGUUGGAACCACUCCAAGUUCAGUAAUGAACUUCUUCAUCCAGAACGCUUCUUUGCCGGCUUCAGCUGUAGCGACAUAUUCAGCCUCUGUCGUGGAAUCAGCAAUUACACUUUGCUUCUUGCUUUUCCAACUGACAGCCCCACCAUUCAGAGUGAAUACAUAUCCGGAGUUGGAACUUCUAUCAUCGACAUCAGAUUGGAAAUCUGCGUCUGUAUAGCCUUCCACUCGCAACUCUGAUGCUCCUCCAUAUACGAGGAACAUGUCCUUAGUUCUUCUUAAGUACUUAAGGACCGUCUUGACAGUUGCCCAGUGUUCUAAUCCUGGGUUAGAUUGAUAUCGACUAGUAAUGCUCACAGCAUAUGCGAUAUCAGGCCUUGUGCAUAUCAUGGCAUACAUGAGACUUCCUAUGGCUGAAGCAUAAGGAAUUCUACUCAUUAUGCCUUAUCUCUUCAGGAGUCUUAGGUUCCAUGGACUUAGAAAGGUGAAUUCCAUGUCUUACAGGAAGAAAGCCUUUCUUAGAUUGUUCCAUCUCGAACCUACUUAGCACCUUAUCAAUGUACAUAGAUUGGGAUAAUCCAAUUAAUUUUCUGGAUCUAUCACGAUAGAGCUUUAUCCCAAGUACAUAAGAUGCAUCUCCUAAAUCUUUCAUGUGGAAGGUUUUGGACAACCACACUUUUACAGAAGAAAGUAUUGCAGUGUCAUUCCCGAAUAGUAAUAUGUCAUCUACAUAUAACACUAGGAAUACAACUGCAUCCCCAACGACUUUUUGAUAAACACAAUUGUCGUCUUCGUUUUGAGUAAAACCAAACGUUUUUGAUUUCAGUGUCGAAACGAAUGUUCCAGCUCCUGGAGGCUUGCUUGAGUCCAUAAAUGGACCUUUGAAGCUUGCAUACCUUAGUCUUUUCAGACUUGGACACGAAACCUUCGGGUUGAGUCAUAUAGAGCUCUUCCUCUAGGUAGCCGUUCAGAAAGGCCGUCUUCACGUCCAUUUGCCAGAUCUCAUAAUCAUGGUACGCAGCUAUAGCAAGCAAAAUCCGAAUGGACUUAAUCAUGGCUACAGGAGAGAAAGUUUCUUCAUAGUCAAUCCCCUCUCUUUGCCUGUAACCCUUGGCUACCAAUCUAGCCUUAUAAGUCUCCACGUUCCCAUCAACGCCUAUCUUCCUCUUGAAGACCCAUUUGUUUCCAACUGGUACAAUACCUUCUGGAGGGUCUACAAGAGUCCAGACCUGAUUUUGAUACAUGGAAUCCAUCUCGGAUUUCAUGGCCUCUUGCCAUCUCUUUGAAUCAAUGUCGGACAUUGCUUCAGUGUAGUCUCUAGGGUCCUCCUUUGUUUCAUUGUCACCUAGAAGGUACAAUUCAUCAAAGUCAUUGUCUAAGCCAUACCUUUUAGGUGGCUUACUAACUCGUUCAGAUCUACGUGGAGCCAGGGGUUCAGGAACAGGGUUGUCAAUAUGUCUAGUGCUUGUUUGUGGUUCAUUAUUAAUCUCAUUAAUUUCCAUCUGUUUGCUUAUAGUCCCUUUGAGAACGAAUUCGUCCUCUAGAAACUUAGCAGUUCUGGCGACAAAGACUUUCUGGUCGUCAGGAUGGUAGAACUCAUAUCCCAUAGUUUCUUUAGGAUAUCCCACAAAAUAGCAUCUUACUGAUCUCGCUUCAAGCUUAGUAGCUUCAAGCUUCUUGACAUAUGCUUCACAACCCCAAAUCUUAAUGUGUUUAAGACUUGGCUUUCUUCCAUGCCAUAUCUCAUAGGGCGUUUGUGAAACUGAUUUGGAAGGUACUCUAUUAAGCAAGUAAGCUGCUGUAUAUAGAGCGUAUCCCCAGAAUGUUACUGGUAGAUCAGCAGAACUCAUCAUAGAACGAACCAUGUUCAUCAAGGUUCGAUUUCUCCUUUCAGAAACUCCAUUGAGUUGUGGAGUUCCCGGUGGAGUCCACUGUGAUAUUAUUCCACACUCUUUGAGGUAAUCUAGGAACUCGUUACUCAGAUAUUCACCCCCUCGAUCCGAUCUUAGGAUCUUUAUCUGUUUCCCAGUUUGCUUCUCAACUUCAUUCUUGAAUUCUUUGAACCUUUCAAAGGAUUCUGACUUGUACUUCAUAAGAUACACAUAGCCAAACCGAGAGUGAUCGUCGGUGAAUGUGAUAUAGUAGGAGAAGCCUCCUCUCGACGUAGUAGACAUAGGUCCACAUACGUCAGUGUGGAUUAACCCUAGAAUUUCAGUGGCACGCUCUCCUUUUCCAGUAAAUGGAGAUUUGGUCAUUUUCCCUUUCAAGCAACAUUCACAAGUACCCAUCCGGUCAUUACCUAAUGGGUGGAUGUAUCCGUCUUUCGACAUCUUGUGAAUCUUUUCAAGGUUCACAUGUCCAAGUUUAAGAUGCCACAUCUUUUCUUGGUUAACUUCUUCUCUAGCCCUUUUGGGUUUUGAGGUAUUCCUGCUCGCAAUACAGUGCAUCCCACUAUUCGUCUCUAGGUGAAAAAGUCCCUCUAUCAUAUUACCAUGAGAGAUAAUACGACCGUUCAAGUAUAAAGUGCAACUCAUUUUGUCAAACAAUACUGAGUGCCCAUCUCGUAAAAGCUUAGAGAUGGAAAUCAAAUUCUUUAUACAUGAAGGAAAAUAUAAACAAUUUUUAAGUUCCAGGACUUCCCCAGAGGGUAGGUUAAGCAUGUAGGUGCCUAUUGCUUUUGCAGAGAGAUUUUAGUGCCGUUCCCAACUCGCACAACCAUCUCCCAUUAUUGCGCAGUGAUUUGCUCCCCACUAGUCCCUGCAUCGUAUUACAGAUAUGUUGACUAGCGCCUGAAUCAAAUAUCCAGGAACUGGAGCUCACUGUAAAAGCACUCUCUAUGACAGAAAUAGUCUCUUCAAAAGUUCGUGUCAUAAGGCUCGCAAUGCGCACCCUGUAUUUCUUCUUCCAACGUUCAUCCUUUCCACAAUGAAAGCAUGUUCCUUUGGAUUUCUUUGCCUUCUUCUUAUGCAACCUUUUCCUUAUGUUUGCAUUCUCACUCCCACUGUCCUAUUUUGAAACCUUUUUCAAAUUUACAGCACAUGUCAAUCAUCUCUUUCAAAGAAUGAUCGAAUCUAUUCACUUUAUAGUUUACAAUAAACUUAGUGAAAUCAUCCGAGAGAGAUGCAAGGAAAAAUCUUGGGCCAUUUUCCCAUCGAUGGAAGUUCCUAAACUUUUAAGAUCUUUAAAUAUCUUUUCCAUCUUUUGUCCAUGUUUAUGGACCGAUGUCCCCAUUGCCAUUUUGGCAUUCAUUAGACUACAAACAUUUGAGAAUCGUACAUUACUAGUCUCAAUGUCAUGCAUCUUAUGCAAACUUUCAACCAUGGCACAAGAAGUGUCCAUGUGCUUAUGUAGCUUCAUAAGCUCCUUACUAAGUGAAGUGAGGAUUAAGCAUUUGGCUUGUAAGUCAUCCUCAUAGUGUCUAACAUAGUUUUGACACUCCUCCUUUGAAGCUAAUUUCGUAGGAGGUACAUGAGGAGGGGAUUGCUUAAGCACAUACAAUAUGUCUUUCACCUUUGAGACAUUCUCAAUGUGGCGAUACCAAGCAAGGAAACGUUGGCCCUUAAGGCCCCUUUUGUCAAGUAUAAUGGUGGGUAUAAUUUCAGGCAUGUCGUUCACUACAUAACAUAACAGAAAUCGUAUUAGAUUGUUUGUUUUAAAACUAUUUGAUUGGGUCUUUGAAUCAAAUAGUACCACCCACUAUUUUUGGCAAAUUCCACAUCCCUCAAUAGAAUUCGAGAGUUAUAUUGAACUCUUAGCGGGUUAUGGGAGACUCACCAUUACCAAGCCCACCUCACGAUGAUACGAUGUUGGCUAGCAAAAAAUAAUGAUGAGAGAAUAACGCAUUAUUCAUUUACAACUUUUGUAAUUACCCAUCCGUUUGGCCUCUAGAGAAUGUUGCCUCACGAUGAUACGAUGUCGGCUUCAUUGCACUUAGUUAAGUUAUUCCCACCAUGCUUAGUUUGUAUAGGGGUUCAAGAAUAGCCUCACGAUGAUACGAUGUCGGCUAUCCUCGUUGCCUACAUUCACCUCAUCAUAUGUAUAUGAAUUCCUCCUGGAUGUAAGCACAUGCUUUGUACUUCCCCAUGAUAGGGUGAAGCCGGUGCAUGAGUCACAAACGCUUGGAACCCACCACGGUGGAAGGCCUACGAAGAGAUGUUCAAAACAUCUCUCGCUUAUCAACUUAAUAUUUGAUUUGAGGGAGUAGUUUUGGGCUACAUCAAAACAUUUUAAUCACAUUAAAAGAACUUGGGCCUAUCACAACUAUUGGUCCAAGUCAAUAUGAUUUAGUAGCAUAUAAUACUCCCACUGUUUCGUUGAAACAAGCGAGACUAUAUGGUACUACUAACGAAUGCAUUGCAUCCUCAUAUGGACUAUAUAGUCAUAUUAGGUUUUAGGAUGAUUAUGAACCGUUUGAUUUGAUCCAACACGAGCCUUGUGUUGGACCUUGGGUUUAAGGUAGAUAGUUGUUGAUUUUAGUUACGCGUUUAAUCCAAUUAAACCGUUAUUUCCUAUUGGGCGUUGGACCCAACUAUUCCAUUUUGCAUACAUAUAAACAAAAAGGAAUACAUGAAAUAAUAAUAAGGGCUUAUGCCCUUUUACAACAUAAAUCAAAUGAUGGACUUAUGUCCAUUUACAACAAUUGAAUUAAUCAAAUUACAUUCAAACCUAUACUACUAAAACCCAAACAUUUAUAAUGUAUAUCGGCCAAUCACAUAGCUCAAUUAUCGUGGCCUUUGGUUCAUAAUCACCCUUUUCUCAAUUAAUCACAUUAACUAAGAAAGCAACUUAAACAAUUGGUUUUUGGAUCCAUAGAAUUGAUUUAAAUGGAACUAAAUGAAAUGAAAAUCCAAUUCUCAUUAAAGAGACAAAACAAUUUUGUUCUCAUUUUAUUUGGGCCAAAAGGAAACUAUGACCACAACAAUUGGGCCAUAAUGCAAAUACAAAAACUUUUGGGGUCACUUUGUAUAAACACAAUAGUCCACAACUUCAUGUAAAUACAACUAGAUCCCAAAAUUUUAUUAAUGUAAAAACAUCAUUAAAGGAUCAAAACAAUUUGUCCUUUAGCGUUUUAGGACCUUAACGUAAAAACGUAAACUUUUGGGCCAAAAUGCAAAAACACAAAAUUUUCACAACUUUAUGUAAUUGCACACAAAAGACCCAAAAAACACCCCACUUGAGGGGUGGCCGGCCAAGGGAGUGUGUGAACAAGUGUGAAAGGGUUUUAGUGCAUGCAUGUGCAAUAUGCAAGUUGAUUUUGGUGGGUGAGGUGAAAUUGAUGGUUUGUAAGAAAAUGUUUUGUAAAAACAUUAAUGAGUUUAGACAAACAUUAAAGAUAUUUGUCUAACAUUAAAACCAAAAUUAAUGCUUCACCAAUAUCCAUCACCCAUCAAAAUUAAACCAAAACUUUAUGAAAAACAUAAAACUUUUGAAUCAAAACUUCAAACCUUUUUGUUCUUGGCAAGAACUUCAAGAACAAUGAAGAACACCAUGAAAACUCAUAAUAGUUCCAUGGAUGUUUUCAUUCACCAAAACUCAAAUUUUCACCUCUCAAAAGAGGGCUAAUAUCCUAGGGUACUUAGGGGUUCCAAAAGUCACCUUAAAACCAUUUUAACAAGACAAACAAGAACCCAAAAAAAACACCCUAAGGAUUUGGCCGAAUUUCCCAAAACACAUGGCACCAAAUUUUAGUUCCAAUAUUCAUGCUUAAAUGAAAUACAUCUACAACAUUUGAGAUGCUAAAUUUUCUAGCAAAAUUUAUAUAUUCAAAAGCAAGAACAAAGCUUGUAACAUUUACAACAUUUAAAUCACAAAAUAUGAACAUCACAAAACCCAAAAGGAUUCACCAUACACUAGGCCUAGGCUCUGAUACCACUUGAAGGAAAAAUUUUGUCCUAGCUAAGAACAAGUAUGAACAUUUGAAUACACAUGCAAGCUAUCAACACUUUAAAGUAGGCAUGCAUCCAAAAACAAUUCAUAAAACCCAUGACUUUCAAAGCCUAGUAUAUGGUGAACCAAAAUAAACUCUUUAACAAAAUUAAAGAGAAGUAAAGAUUUUGUGAUUCUUUACCCUUGAAGCUCAUCCUUGUUUACACAAGGGAUUCACCCAAGUGGAGGGCCUUCAAGUCACCUCCAAGCUCCUUGAAUCCUCCUUGUGUUUUCCUCCCUUUAGUGCUCCUUUGAUGAUUAGAGGAAAAAAGGAUUUGUUCUCCAAAAACAUCAAAAGCUUGAUGUCUCUAAGUCUCUUCACCAAGGUUGUAUAUUGUGAAGAUGAUAUGGAUGACUUAGAGAGAUUUUAGAUGCUAGUAAAAAUCCUCUAAGUGGCCGGCCUCUAUGUAGAAAAAGAGAGAAAAUGUUUCACCCAAUUUCUAUUAGAAAACCCUAAUGAGAAAAUUGCUAUAAAGUUCCUUUUUAUAACAUUUUCUUUGGUGAGUGGCAAACUUGUAAUUAAGCAAGCUUGCCCAUUCACCCUAAUGGCCGGCCUCUCCUUGUUAUUGGGCUAAUUUGCCCAUUUUGUUUUAGUUGUCAUACAACUUAAACAUAAUGGGCCUUGUGGACCAAAACACUUUUGGGCCCCGAAACCCAAAACCAACAUAUAAGCCCAAUACGAACCUUUCGUAUAAUUAAUUAACUAAUUAAUUAAUCUUGACCAUUCUUCAAUUAAACCAUUUAAUUGCUUAUCCAUUUCAUAUAAUUUCUUCACUAACAUCCUUAUGUGGUGUGCGAUCCAUUAGGUUCCAAAUAGCGAGGCAGUGGGCGAUGUUACUCUUAACGAUCGAUUGUGAAUUGAAACCACAUUUCAAUUCUCCCUUAAGAUUAGUGUUUGCUAAUCUUCAGGGCUUCCACAAACCAUGAGUGACACCUAGCAGCAUAUCAUGGUUACCCAAGCUAAGUAGAAUUGGUUGGAAAACCUAUCCAGUUACAACUACAAUGCAAUACGGUCCUUCUCUAAUACAAUACUCUUAAUCACAUUGUUUAAGUGAUAGUUUGUUUCAUGUCUACUAUCCAAUGUGAUACUUUCCUAUAUGAUUCCUUUGAAUAUGAUUUGGAACAAACUUCCUAAGUCAUAUUCAUAUGCUUUGGCCAAAGACUUUAGAAUCAUAUCUUAGAGUAUUCUCCUUCCACCAUGGAAGGUUAGAGAUCCCUUGUUGUGCAUUCAUAUGCCUACAUGACUAGAUAGCUUGACCCCAACAAUGCCGUGGACAAUCCGAAGGAAUGCCAUUGACAUGAUCAAAGAUCAAGGACCUAACCAUUAGACAUCUAUGAUGCCUCAGGUCAAAGGACUACUUUGCAUAUUGCAACUUUAGAGUUCAUACAUGACAUGUAUGUUCGAACUCUCUUUUGAUCGACGUUCAGUGUACUCGAUUACUCUUUCGAGCACCUAUGUGUUUGUCUCAGUGUCCAACACCAAAUGACUUGAGACUAGUUCAUACUCACGUUUGAGUCAACAUAACACAUACUAACCUUAGCGGAUUGUCAAUGCCCAAUUGGCAAUCCUAUGGCUAGGAACGUUUUAGGAAUGAACAUAAGAGUGAGGUCUCGAUAAUCUAACUCAUUAGAUCACUUCUCUCUUAGAACAAAUACAUUCCUUGGAUUCCCUUAUUGCUUAAACACAUGAUACAAUAAAUAGUGAUUAACAAUAAGCUUUGCCCUUCAUUAAACAUAUAAAAGUUUAAUACAAUAAGUAUUCCAAAAAGCUAUUACAUCAAAUGAGUGGCUUUGUGGGCAUACUUCCAACAAAGAACUCCUAACCAUGUCUCACUUGUAGCGUAGUGAAGUGAGGUGAUUCUUGGAACAAUUCGAAGAUUUUGCAACUAAGGUCAUAUCGUGGACCUCCAAGAUAUUGCGAUUGUUGGAAGUAUGCCCACAAAGCCACUCAUUUGAUGUAAUAGCUUUUGGAAUACUUAUUAUAUUAAACUUUUAUAUGUUUAAUGAAGGGCAAAGCUUAUUGUUAAUCACUAUUUAUUGUAUCAUGUGUUUAAGCAAUAAGGGAAUCCAAGGAAUGUAUUUGAUCUAAGAGAUAAGUGAUAUAAGUAAGUUAGAUUAUCGAGACCUUUCUCUUAUGUUCAUUCCUAAAACGUUUCUAGCCAUAGGAUUGCCAAUUGGGCAUUGACAAUCUGCUAAGGUUAGUAUGUGUUAUGUCGACUCAAGCGUGAGUAUGACUAGUCUCAAGUCAUUUAGUGUUGGACACUAAGGCAAACACAUAGGUGCUCGAAAGAGUGAUCGAGUACACUGAACAACGAUCAAAAGAGAGUUCGAACCUACAUGUCAUGUAAGAACUCAAGAGUUGCAAUAUGCAAAGUAGUCCUUUGACCUGAGGCAUCAUAGAUGUCUAAUGGUUAGGUCCUUGAUCUUUGAUCAUGUCAAAGGCAUUCCAUUGGAGUGUCCACGGCAUUGUUAUGGUCAAGCUACCUAGUCAUGUAGGCAUAUGAAUGCACAACAAGGAAUCUCUAACCUUCCAUGGUGGAAGGAGAAUACUCUAAGAUAUGAUUCGAGAGUCUUUGGCCAAAGCAUAUGAAUAUGACUUAGGAAGUUUGUUCCAAAUCAUAUUCAAUUGAAUCAUAUAGAUAAGUAUCACAUUGGAUAGUAGACAUGAAACAAACUAUCACUUAAACAAUGUGAUUAAGAGUAUUGUAUUAGAGAAGGACCGUAUUGCAUUGUAGUUGUAACUGGAUAGGUUCUCCAACCACUUCUACUUAGCUUGGGUAACCAUGAUAUGCUACUAGGUGUCACUCAUGGUUUGUGGAAGCCCUAAAGAUUAGCAAACACUAAUUUUAAGGGAGAACUGAAAUGUGGUUUCAAUUCACAAUCGAUCGUUAAGAGUAACAAUCGCCCACUACCUCGCUAAAUGGAACCUAAUGGAUCGUACACCGAGUAAGGAUGUUGGUGAAGAAAUUAAAUGAAAUGGAUAAGCAAUUAAAUGGUUUAAAUGAAGAAUGGUCAAGGUUAAUUAAUUAGUUAAUUAAUUAUACGAAAUGUUCGUAUUGGGCUUAUAUGUUGGUUUUGGGUUUCGGGGCCCAAAAGCGUUUUGGUCCACAAGGCCCAUUAUGUUUAAGUUGUAUGACAACUAAAAAAAAAGGGCAAUUAGCCCAAUCAAUUUGAUAUGGGCGGCCAUUAGGGUGAGAAGUGUCAAACUUGGAAUAAUUACAAGUUUGCCACUCACAGGUGAUGAAGUAUAAAUUCAACUUUAUAGCUUUAUUUUCGUUUAGGGUUUUUCUUGGUGAAAUGAGGUGAAACAUUUUCUCUCAUUUUCUCUAAAGAGGCCGGCCACCUAGGGAAGGAAUAGCUAGCAAUCUCUUCUUCCCUAAGUCAUCCAUUUCAUCUUCACAUCACAUCCUUGGUGAAGAGACUUAAAGACAUCAAGCUUUUGAUGUUUUGGAGAACAAAUCCUCAAAUCCUCUUAGAAGCAAAGGAGCACAAAAAGGAGGAAAAUCACAAGGAAGAUCCAAGGAGCAAAGAGGUGACUUGAAGGCCCUCCACUUGGGUGAAUCCCUUGUGUAAUCAAGGAUGAGCUUCAAGGGUAAAGAAACUCUAAAUCUUUCCUUCUCUUUAAUGUUAAAAAGUUUAUUGGUUCACCAUAUACUAGGCUUUGAAAGUCAUGGGUUUUAUGAAUUGUUUUUGAAUGCAUGCCUACUUUAAUGUGUUAAUAGUUUGCAUAUGUAUUCAAAUGUUCUUACUUGUUCUUAGCUAGGACAAAAUUUUUUCUUCAAGUGGUAUCAGAGCCUAGGCCUAGUUUAUGGUGAAUCCUUUUGGGUUUUGUGUUUUUCAUGAUUUAUGAUUUAAGUGUUGUAAAUGUUACAAGCUUUGUUCUUGCUUAUUGAAUAAGUUUUGUUUGAAAAUUUUGCAUCUCAAAUGUUGUAGAUGUAGUUCAUUGAAGCAUGAAUAUUGGAACUAAAAUUUGGUGCCAUGUUUGUUGGGAAAUUCGGCCAAAUCCAAAGGGUGAUUUUUUGGGUUCAUGUUUGUCUUGUUAAAAUGGUUUUAAAAUGACUUUUGGAACCCCUAAGUACCCUAGGAUAUUAACCUUCUUUUGAGUAGUGAAAAUUUGAGUUUUGGUGAGUGAAAACAUUCAUGGAGCUAUUAUAAGUUUUCAUAAGUGUUCUUCAAUGUUCUUGAAGUUCUUGCCAAGAACAAAAAGUUUUGAAGUUUUGAUUCAAAAGUUUUAUGUUUUUCAUAAAGUUUUGUUAUAUAAUUGAUGGGUGAUGUUUAUUGGUGAAACUUGUUUAAUGCCUCUAAUGUUUUACAAAACUUUUUCUUACAAACCAUCUAUAUCACCUUUAUCUCACCUAACAAAAUCAACUUGCAAAAACUUUUUAGAAAUUUUUUUACUUCUUCUCAAAUGGCCGGCCACCCUAUAGAAUAGGGUAUUUUUGGGCCUUUUGUGCAAUUACAUAAAGUUAUGAUACUUUUGUGUUUUUGUAUUUUGGCCCAAAAGUUUACGUUUUUACGUUAAGGCCCAAAAACUCUAAAGGACAAAUUGUUUUGCUCCUUUAAUGAUGUUUUUACAUUAUUAAAAUUUUGGGUUCUAGUUGUAAUUACAUGAAGUUGUGGACUCUUAUGUUUUUACAAAGUGACCCCAAAAGUUUUUGUUUAUUAAAUAAUGGCCCAACAAUUGUUGAGGUCAUUGGUUUUGGCCCAAAUAAGAUGAGAACAAAAUGGUUUUGUCUCUUUAAAUGAGAAUUGGAUUUUCAUUUUAUUUAGUUCCAUUUAAAUCAAUUCUAUGAAUCCGAAAACCAAUUGUUUAAGUCGCUUUCUUAGUUCAUGUGAUUGAUUAAGAAAAGGGUGAUUAUGAACCAAAGGCCUCGAUAAUUGAGCUAUGUGAUUGGCCGCUUUACAUUAUGAAUGUUUGGGUUUAGUAGUUUAGAUUUGAAUGUAAUUUGAUUAGUUCAAUUUGUUGUAAAUGGACAUAAGUCCAUCCAAUGUGUUGUAAAAGGGCAUAAGCCCUUCCUUUUAUUUCAAGUAUUCCCUUUUGUUUAUUUGUAUGCAAAUUGGAAUAGUUGGGUCCAGCGCCCAAUAGGAAAUAACGGUUUAAUUAGAUUAAACGCGUAACUAAAAUCAACAACUAUCUACCUUAAACCCAAGGUCCAACACAAGGCUCGUGUUGGAUCAAAUCAAACAGUUCAUAAUCAUCCUAAAACCUAAUAUGACUAUAUAGUUCAUAUGAGGAUGCAAUGCGUUCGUUAGUAGUUCCAUAUAGUCUCGCUUGUUUCAACGAAACAGUGGGAGUAUUAUAUGCUACUAAUUUAUAUUAACUUGGACCAAUAGUUGUGAUAGGCCCAAGUUCUUUUAAUAAGAUUAAAAUGAUUUUGAUGUAGCCCAACACUACUCCCUCAACAAAACGAAUAUUAAGUUGAUAAGCGAGAGAUGUUUUGAACAUCUUAUCGUAGGCCUUCCACCGUGGUGGGCUUCAAUCGUUUGUGACUCAUACACCGUAUUCGUCCAGUUCUGGGGUAUGCAAAGUAUGUGCUUACAUUCAGGAGAAGCCUAUAAACAUAUGAUGAAGUGAAGGUAGGCAACGAGUAUGGUCAAUAUGAUAUUCUUCUGAAGCCAUUCUUGAACCCCUACUUGAACUAGCAUGGUGGGAAUGACUUAACUAAGUGCAAUGGUGCCAAUAUGAUAUUCUUCUGAGGCAUCAUUCUCUAGAGGCCAAACUAGAUGGGUAAUUACAAAAGUUGUAAAUGGCUAAAAAGUUAUCCUCUCAUCAUUAUUAUUGCUAGCCAAAAUGAUAUUCUUCUGAGGUGGGCUUGGUAAUGGUGAGUCUCCCAUACCCUGCUAAGAGUUCAAAAUAACUCUCGAAUUCCAUUGAGGGAUGUGGAAUUUGCCAAAAAUAGUGGGUGGUAUUAUUUAAUUUAAGACUCAAUCAAGUAGUUUUAAAAUCAACAAUCUAAUACGAUUUCUGUUAUGUUAUGUAGUUAACGACAUGCCUAAAAUAAUACCCACCAUUAUACUUGACAAAAGGGGCCUUAGGGGCCAACGUUUCCUUGCUUGGUAUCGCCACAUUGAGAAUGUCUCAAAGGUGAAAGACAUAUUGUAUGUGCUUAAGCAAUCCCCUCCUCAUGCACCACCUACGAAACUAGCUUCAAAUGAGGAGUGUCAAAGUUAUGCUAGACACUAUAAGGAUGACUUACAAACCAAAUGCUUAAUCCUCAUCACUUAGUGAGGAGCUUAUGAAGCUACAUAAGCACAUGGACACUUCUUGUGCCAUGGUUGAAAGUUUGCAUAAGAUGCAUGACAUUGAGACUAGUAAUGUACGAUUCUCAAAAGUUUGUAGUCUAAUGAAUGCCAAAAUGGCAAAGAGGACAUCAGUCCAUAAACAUGGACAAAAGAUGGAAAAGAUCUUUCAAGAUCUUGAAAGUUUAGGAACUUCCAUCGAUGGGAAAAUGGCCCAAGACUUUUUCCUUGCAUCUCUCUCGGAUGAUUUCACUAAGUUUAUUGUAAACUAUAAAGUGAAUAGAUUCGAUCAUACUUUUACCGAGAUGAUUGACAUGUGCUGUAAUUUUGAACAAGGUUUCAAAAAGGACAGUGGGAGUGAGAAUGCAAUAACAAGGAAAAGGUUGCAUAAGAAGAAGGCAAUAAAAUCCAAAGGAACAUGCUUUCAUUGUGGAAAUGAUGGACGUUGGAAGAAGAAAUACAGGGUGCGCAUUGCGAGCCUUAUGACACGAACUUUUGAAGAGACUAUUUCCGUCAUAGAGAGUGCUUUUACAGUGAGCUCCAAUUCCUGGAUAUUUGAUUCAGGCGCUAGUCAACAUAUCUGUAAUACGAUGCAGGGACUAGCAGGGAGCAGGACACUGCGCAAUGGGAAGAUGGUUGUGCGAGUUGGGAAAGGCACUAAAAUCUCUGCAAAAGCAAUAGGCACCUACAUGCUUAAACUACCCUCUGGGGAAGUCCUGGAACUUAAAAAUUGUUUAUAUUUUCCUUCAUGUAUAAAGAAUUUGAUUUCUAUCUCUAAGCUUUUACGAGAUGGGCACUCAGUAUUGUUUGACAAAAUGAGUUGCACUUUAUACUUGAACGGUCAUAUUAUCUCUCAUGGUAAUAUGAUAGAGGGACUUUUUCACCUAGAGACGAAUAAUGGGAUGCACUGUAUUGAAAGCGGGAAUACCUCAAAACCCAAAAGGGCUAGAGAAGAAGUUAACCAAGAAAUGAUGUGGCAUCUUAAACUUUGACAUGUGAACCUUGAAAAGAUUCGCAAGAUGUCGAAAGACGGAUAUCUCCGCCCAUUAGGUAAUGACAAGAUGGGUACUUGUGAAUGUUGCUUGAAAGGGAAGAUGACCAAAUCUCCAUUCACUGGGAAAGGAGAGCGUGCCACUGAAACUCUAGGGUUAAUCCACACUGACGUAUGUGGACCUAUGUUUACUACGUCGAGAGAAGGCUUCUCCUACUAUAUCACAUUCACCGACAAUCACUCUUGGUUUGGCUAUGUGUAUCUUAUGAAGUACAAGUCAGAAUCCUUUGAAAGGUUCAAAGAAUUCAAGAAUGAAGUUGAGAAGCAAACUGGGAAACAAAUAAAGACCCUAAGAUCGGAUCGAGGGAGUGAAUAUCUGAGUAAUGAAUUCCUAGACUACCUCAAGGAGUGUGGAAUAGUAUCACAGUGGACUCCACCAGGAACUCCUCAACAUAACGGAGUUUCUGAACGGAGAAAUCGAACCUUGAUGAACAUGGUUCGUUCUAUGAUGAGUUCCGCUGACUUACCAGUUUCGUUUUGGGGAUAUGCACUACAAACAGGAGCUUAUUUGCUAAAUAGAGUGCCUUCCAAGUCAGUUCCAUAAACGCCAUAUGAGAUAUGACAUGGCAAAAGCACAAAUCUUAAUCAUAUUAGGAUUUGGGGUUGUCCGGCUUACGUAAAAAGGCUUGAAGCUGACAAGCUUGAAGCAAGAUCAGUUAAGUGCUAUUUUAUGUGGUAUUCCAAACAGACUUUGGGAUACGAAUUCUAUAACCCUGACAACCAGAAAGUCUUUGUCGCCAGAACUACUAUGUUCCUUGAGGACGAAUUCGUUCUCAAAUGAAGUAGCAAGAAAACGAUAGAAUUGAAGGAAAUUAAUGAGAUUAAUGAUGAACCACAAACAAGCACUCGACAAGUUGACAACCCUGUUCCUGAACCCUUAGCUCCACGUAGAUCUGAAAGGGUUAGCAAGCCACCUAAGAGGUAUGGCUUAGAUAACGACUUUGGGGAAUUGCACCUUCUAGGUGACAAUUACACAAAGGAUGACCCUAGAGACUACACUGAAGCAAUGUCCGACAUUGAUUCAAAGAGAUGGCAAGAGGCCAUGAAAUCCGAGAUGGAUUCCAUGUAUCAAAAUCAGGUCUGGACUCUCGUAGACCCUCCAGAAGGUAUAGUACCAGUUGGAAAUAAAUGGGUCUUCAAGAGGAAGAUAGGCGUUGAUGGGAACGUGGAGACUUAUAAGGCUAGACUCGUAGCCAAGGGUUAUAGGCAACGAAAAGGGAUUGACUACGAAGAAACCUUCUUUCCUGUUGCCAUGAUUAAGUCCAUUCGGAUUUUGCUUGCUAUAGCUGCGUACCAUGAUUAUGAGAUAUGGCAAAUGGACGUGAAAAUGGCCUUUCUGAACGGCCACCUAGAGGAAGAGCUCUAUAUGACUCAACCCGAAGGUUUCGUGUCCAAGUCUGAAAAGACUAAGGUAUGCAAGCUUCAAAGGUCCAUUUAUGGACUUAAGCAAGCCUCCAGGAGCUGGAACAUUCGUUUCGAUACUGAAAUCAAAACGUUUGGUUUUACUCAAAACGAAGACGACAAUUGUGUUUAUCAAAAAGUCGUUGGGGAUGCAAUGGUAUUCCUAGUGUUAUAUGUAGAUGACAUAUUACUAUUCAGGAAUGACACUGCAGUACUUUCUUCUGUAAAAGUGUGGUUAUCCAAAACCUUCCACAUGAAAGAUUUAGGAGAUGCAUCUUAUGUACUUGUGAUAAAACUCUAUCGUGAUAAAUCUAGAAAAUUAAUUAGAUUAUCCCAAUCUAUGUACAUUGAUAAGGUGCUAAGUAGGUUCCAGAUGGAACAAUCUAAUAAACGUAUUCUUCCUGUAAGACAUGGAAUUCACCUUUCUAAGUCCAUGGAACCUAAGACUCCUGAAGAGAUACGGCAAAUGAGUAUUGUUCCUUAUGCUUCCGCCAUAGGAAGUCUCAUUUAUGCCAUGAUAUGCACAAGGCCGGAUAUCGCAUAUGUUGUGAGCAUUACUAGUCGAUAUCAAUCUAACCCAUGAUCAGAACACUGGGCAGCUGUCAAGACGGUCCUUAAGUACUUAAGAAGAACUAAGGACAUGUUCCUCGUUUAUGGAGGAGCGACAGAGUUGCGAGUGGAAGCCUAUACAGACGCAGAUUUCCAAUCUGACGUCGAUGAUAGAAGUUCCAACUCCGGAUAUGUAUUCACUCUAAAUAGUGGGGCUGUCAGUUGGAAAAGCAAGAAACAAAGUGUAAUUGCUGAUUCAACGACAGAGGCAGAAUAUGUCGCUACAGCUGAAGCCGGCAAAGAAGCGUUCUGGAUGAAGAAGUUCAUUACUGAACUUGGAGUGGUUCCAACCAUUACAUCACCAGUAACUUUGUACUGUGAUAAUAGUGGGGCGAUAGCUCAAGCCAAGGAACCCAAGGCUCAUCAAAAGAACAAGCAUUUUGACAGACGCUUUAAUAUUAUUAGAAGAUAUGUUGUCGAGGGGAAAGUCAACAUCCUCAAAGUUGCCUCAGCCGAUAACGUAGCAGAUCCACUGACAAAGCCAAUGUCUCAAAUCCAGCUUGACCGUCAUAUGGAAAAGAUGGGUAUUAGAUACAUGGGAAGGUGGCUUUAAGUGCAAGUGGGAGAUUGUUGGAAGUAUGCCCACAAAGCCACUCAUUUGAUGUAAUAGCUUUUGGAAUACUUAUUAUAUUAAACUUUUAAAUGUUUAAUGAAGGGCAAAGCUUAUUGUUAAUCACUAUUUAUUGUAUCAUGUGUUUAAGCAAGAAGGGAAUCCAAGGAAUGUAUUUGAUCUAAGAUAUAAGUGAUUUAAGUAAGUUAGAUUAUCGAUACCUUUCUCUUAUGUUCAUUCCUAAAACGUUCCUAGCCAUAGGAUUGCCAAUUGGGCAUUGACAAUCCGCUAAGGUUAGUAUGUGUUAUGUCGACUCAAGCGUGAGUAUGACUAGUCUCAAGUCAUUUAGUGUUGGACACUAAGGCAAACACAUAGGUGCUCGAAAGAGUGAUCAAGUACAUUGAACAACGAUCAAAAGAGAGUUCGAACAUACAUGUCAUGUAAGAACUCGAGAGUUGCAAUAUGCAAAGUAGUCCUUUGACCUGAGGCAUCAUAGAUGUCUAAUGGUUAGGUCCUUGAUCUUUGAUCAUGUCAAAGGCAUUCCAUUGGAGUGUCCACGGCAUUGUUGUGGUCAAGCUACCUAGUCAUGUAGGCAUAUGAAUGCACAACAAGGAAUCUCUAACCUUCCAUGGUGGAAGGAGAAUACUCUAAGAUAUGAUUCGAGAGUCUUUGGCCAAAGCAUAUGAAUAUGACUUAGGAAGUUUGUUCCAAAUCAUAUUCAAUUGAAUCAUAUAGAUAAGUAUCACAUUGGAUAGUAGACAUGAAACAAACUAUCACUUAAACAAUGUGAUUAAGAGUANUACUGAAUCUGAACAUAGAAAGCACCCUAGGCAUUUUGUUUUGUUUUUCUCUGUAUUUCAAUGAAACACAAUCAGCAAUUUGUAAGAAAAUGGUCCUCUUCAAUGAAAUGAUUGCCUUGACAUUUUGUGCUGUAUAAUUUCAAAAUUAUACAACAUUCUAUGGACUAUCGUCGCGGUAAUUUGAUUUUAUGCUAAAACCAAGUUAGCUAAAAUUCCUCAUGCGAGUCUGGAAGCCCUUGCAUUAACAUUAAUCACACAAUAAACGAACAGUCUCAAGUGAAUAAAAUGCUAGGAACUGUUGUCGCUAAAAGACCAAAGAUCAAUAAUAAUAUUCCAAAAGUAUUGUCUUGAUCAAUGACAGUGAUGAUUCUUCACUAACAACAAUUUAGCAUAAUUUCUAUGCAAAUACGUUUAAGUCGGUCAAUUAUUGUGUCUUCUAAUCUAAUAAUAAGAAUAAAUUUGUAAAGACCUCAGUCGCAGUGGAAUUAUUUGAAAUACCGGAAACCUCCUCAGAACUUGCCGUCAAUAAGCUUGAAGUAUCGCAUGGAGUAUCGCAUGCAUUUCCACUUGCAUUGUGGAAGUUUUGGUUUGUUGGUCCCUGAUGUUCUCAACUUGUAAUUUACUUUGAAGCAUGAUUAAGACACUUGACAAACGAAAGUGGAGAAGAAUCAUCUAUUUUGUGGGAGUCAUUCAUCAUUCCUCUUAUUCUCCAAAACGACUUUUGACUGUUUGCAACUUGUAUGGAAAAUAAAUGUGAAUCUCUCAAGAGAAUGUGAAUAUCUCAAGAGUUGAGGCGUUUUCCGUGUAUUUUAGCCUGGUCCAAAUAACGGAAAUUACGCAUUCUGACUGUUUGCAACUUGUUUGGAAAAUAAAUGUAAAUUUGUUCUCUCAAGAGUUGAGACGUUUUUUUGCGUUUUUUUUGCUUGGUCCAAAUAACGUGAAUUACAUGCAUAUAUGUUGUUUUCUAAUAAUGUGGUUCAAAUUCGCCUUUGGCAAGAAUCGUACCUAAGGUCUCUUACUUACAAGUGAAGAGGAAUAUCACUAGACUGUAGUAUUAAGUGGCAAUAGCUGUUAAGAUAGAACAAUUUAACCAAAUAUUCAAAUAUGUUUGUCAAAUUGGCAAGAUUAGAAAUAGAAAAACUUGGAAGCAAUUGUAAUUAAUAAAAGGUUUGUGCAGAUGGCAUCUAACAGAACUUGCUUUCUUACAACUGAUCAAUCCAAAUAUCGUUAGGCAAAAUAGGAAGAAAAAUAAACGUAAAACCAAAAUGAAAUUAAAAAUAUAACGCAGAGCACCCAUCUCAACAUGUAAAGACAUGAUUGCCAAACCAGUUCAAUUUCCAAAAGCCAACCAAAAAGAGAGAAGUAAAUUGUAUAUUCCACAUACAUAUUAACAAUUUAGAGAGAGAGAAAUUACAAUGACAAUAACAUGAAAGCUUGGAAAUUUUAAGAAAUACACUUAUAUGAACCAAUUCAAUUUGUGCUUUCACAGUUGUUGAAUAAAAGAGUAAGUUUAGAUCAUGCUGAAAAUUGUAAAUUAUUACAUCAAUGGAGGUUCAUAAGGGCUAUGUAACACCAAAAGAGAGAGAAAAUGCCACAUUAUUUUCACAAAAGAAACAAUCACCAACCUGCACUGCAACUGCAAACACAUCACUUCCUCCCCAUUCUUCACGAGCUGUCUCCAAAGGAAAAGCCACCUAAGAGGUAUGGCUUAGAUAACGACUUUGGGGAAUUGCACCUUCUAGGUGACAAUUACACAAAGGAUGACCCUAGAGACUACACUGAAGCAAUGUCCGACAUUGAUUCAAAGAGAUGGCAAGAGGCCAUGAAAUCCGAGAUGGAUUCCAUGUAUCAAAAUCAGGUCUGGACUCUCGUAGACCCUCCAGAAGGUAUAGUACCAGUUGGAAAUAAAUGGGUCUUCAAGAGGAAGAUAGGCGUUGAUGGGAACGUGGAGACUUAUAAGGCUAGACUCGUAGCCAAGGGUUAUAGGCAACGAAAAGGGAUUGACUACGAAGAAACCUUCUUUCCUGUUGCCAUGAUUAAGUCCAUUCGGAUUUUGCUUGCUAUAGCUGCGUACCAUGAUUAUGAGAUAUGGCAAAUGGACGUGAAAAUGGCCUUUCUGAACGGCCACCUAGAGGAAGAGCUCUAUAUGACUCAACCCGAAGGUUUCGUGUCCAAGUCUGAAAAGACUAAGGUAUGCAAGCUUCAAAGGUCCAUUUAUGGACUUAAGCAAGCCUCCAGGAGCUGGAACAUUCGUUUCGAUACUGAAAUCAAAACGUUUGGUUUUACUCAAAACGAAGACGACAAUUGUGUUUAUCAAAAAGUCGUUGGGGAUGCAAUGGUAUUCCUAGUGUUAUAUGUAGAUGACAUAUUACUAUUCAGGAAUGACACUGCAGUACUUUCUUCUGUAAAAGUGUGGUUAUCCAAAACCUUCCACAUGAAAGAUUUAGGAGAUGCAUCUUAUGUACUUGUGAUAAAACUCUAUCGUGAUAAAUCUAGAAAAUUAAUUAGAUUAUCCCAAUCUAUGUACAUUGAUAAGGUGCUAAGUAGGUUCCAGAUGGAACAAUCUAAUAAACGUAUUCUUCCUGUAAGACAUGGAAUUCACCUUUCUAAGUCCAUGGAACCUAAGACUCCUGAAGAGAUACGGCAAAUGAGUAUUGUUCCUUAUGCUUCCGCCAUAGGAAGUCUCAUUUAUGCCAUGAUAUGCACAAGGCCGGAUAUCGCAUAUGUUGUGAGCAUUACUAGUCGAUAUCAAUCUAACCCAUGAUCAGAACACUGGGCAGCUGUCAAGACGGUCCUUAAGUACUUAAGAAGAACUAAGGACAUGUUCCUCGUUUAUGGAGGAGCGACAGAGUUGCGAGUGGAAGCCUAUACAGACGCAGAUUUCCAAUCUGACGUCGAUGAUAGAAGUUCCAACUCCGGAUAUGUAUUCACUCUAAAUAGUGGGGCUGUCAGUUGGAAAAGCAAGAAACAAAGUGUAAUUGCUGAUUCAACGACAGAGGCAGAAUAUGUCGCUACAGCUGAAGCCGGCAAAGAAGCGUUCUGGAUGAAGAAGUUCAUUACUGAACUUGGAGUGGUUCCAACCAUUACAUCACCAGUAACUUUGUACUGUGAUAAUAGUGGGGCGAUAGCUCAAGCCAAGGAACCCAAGGCUCAUCAAAAGAACAAGCAUUUUGACAGACGCUUUAAUAUUAUUAGAAGAUAUGUUGUCGAGGGGAAAGUCAACAUCCUCAAAGUUGCCUCAGCCGAUAACGUAGCAGAUCCACUGACAAAGCCAAUGUCUCAAAUCCAGCUUGACCGUCAUAUGGAAAAGAUGGGUAUUAGAUACAUGGGAAGGUGGCUUUAAGUGCAAGUGGGAGAUUGUUGGAAGUAUGCCCACAAAGCCACUCAUUUGAUGUAAUAGCUUUUGGAAUACUUAUUAUAUUAAACUUUUAAAUGUUUAAUGAAGGGCAAAGCUUAUUUGUUAAUCACUAUUUAUUGUAUCAUGUGUGUUUAAGCAAGAAGGGAAUCCAAGGAAUGUAUUUGAUCUAAGAUAUAAGUGAUUUAAGUAAGUUAGAUUAUCGAUACCUUUCUCUUAUGUUCAUUCCUAAAACGUUCCUAGCCAUAGGAUUGCCAAUUGGGCAUUGACAAUCCGCUAAGGUUAGUAUGUGUUAUGUCGACUCAAGCGUGAGUAUGACUAGUCUCUCAAGUCAUUUAGUGUUGGACACUAAGGCAAACACAUAGGUGCUCGAAAGAGUGAUCAAGUACAUUGAACAACGAUCAAAAGAGAGUUCGAACAUACAUGUCAUGUAAGAACUCGAGAGUUGCAAUAUGCAAAGUAGUCCUUUGACCUGAGGCAUCAUAGAUGUCUAAUGGUUAGGUCCUUGAUCUUUGAUCAUGUCAAAGGCAUUCCAUUGGAGUGUCCACGGCAUUGUUGUGGUCAAGCUACCUAGUCAUGUAGGCAUAUGAAUGCACAACAAGGAAUCUCUAACCUUCCAUGGUGGAAGGAGAAUACUCUAAGAUAUGAUUCGAGAGUCUUUGGCCAAAGCAUAUGAAUAUGACUUAGGAAGUUUGUUCCAAAUCAUAUUCAAUUGAAUCAUAUAGAUAAGUAUCACAUUGGAUAGUAGACAUGAAACAAACUAUCACUUAAACAAUGUGAUUAAGAGUAUUGUAUUAAAGAAGGACCGUAUUGCAUUGUAGUUGUAACUGGAUAGGUUCUCCAACCACUUCUACUUAGCUUGGGUAACCAUGAUAUGCUGCUAGGUGUCACUCAUGGUUUGUGGAAGCCCUAAAGAUUAGCAAACACUAAUUUUAAGGGAGAAUUGAAAUGUGGUUUCAAUUCACAAUCGAUCGUUAAGAGUAACAAUCGCCCACUACCUCGCUAAAUGGAACCUAAUGGAUCGUACACCGAGUAAGGAUGUUGGUGAAGAAAUUAAAUGAAAUGGAUAAGCAAUUAAAUGGUUUAAUUAAAGAAUGGUCAAGGUUAAUUAAUUAGUUAAUUAAUUAUACGAAAUGUUCGUAUUGGGCUUAUAUGUUGGUUUUGGGUUUCGGGGCCCAAACGUGUUUUGGUCCACAAGGCCCAUUAUGUUUAAGUUGUAUGACAACUAAAACAAAAUGGGCAAUUAGCCCAAUCAAUUUGAUAUGGGCGGCCAUUAGGGUGAGAAGUGUCAAACUUGGAUUAAUUCCAAGUUUGCCACUAACAUGUGAUGAAGUAUAAAUUCAACUUUAUAGCUUUAUCUUCUUUUAGGGUUUUUCUUGGUGAAAUGAGGUGAAACAUUUUCUCUCAUUUUCUCUAAAGAGGCCGGCCACCUAGGGAAGGAAUAGCUAGCAAUCUCUUCUUCCCUAAGUCAUCCAUUUCAUCUUCACAUCACAUCCUUGGUGAAGAGACUUAGAGACAUCAAGCUUUUGAUGUUUUGGAGAACAAAUCCUCAAAUCCUCAUAGAAGCAAAGAAUCACAAAAAGGAGGAAAAUCACAAGGAAGAUCCAAGGAGCAAGGAGGUGACUUGAAGGCCCUCCACUUGGGUGAAUCCCUUGUGUAAUCAAGGAUGAGCUUCAAGGGUUAAGAAACUCUAAAUCUUUCCUUCUCUUUAAUGUUGUUAAAGAGUUUAUUGGUUCACCAUAUACUAGGCUUUGAAAGUCAUGGGUUUUAUGAAUUGUUUUUUAAUGCAUGCCUACUUUAAUGUGUUAAUAGUUUGCAUAUGUAUUCAAAUGUUCUUACUUGUUCUUAGCUAGGACAAAAUUUUUCCUUCAGCGAUAUCCCUAAUAGUAAAGACAUAACCAUUUGGGGAUUUGCCCUCGUAGUACCUUCAGGGUACGUCUUUAAUACCAAUUAAGUGGUUGCGUGUAGGCGUGGUGUUGCAUCUUUACCAAGAUCAACAGUGAAGGAGAUGUCAUAUCUUAAUACAAUGAGCUAAGUACAAUGAAACGCAAAGUUGAACUUUAGAUAUGGAAUUUCGAAUUCCAUAACGUCUUUAAGGGUCUCAUUUGCAUAUAACAUAUGGACAAUCAAGGGUAUACUCAAAGGUAACACUUUCGAGUUGUAGUUCGACUAGUAGACCAAAAUACUGUCAGAACAAUGCUUUAACUUCAGGUCAAGGCAUAAACAAGUUUUCCCAAGAUCUUUCUUCUCAAAUUCCAUCUUCAGGUGCAAGGCAGUUUUCUCAAGCUUUUCUGGAAUCUUAGUGAGAUUUGUGUUAACGACAUAAACUGUAACUCUAAGAAUUCGGAAUUAGACUUCAUAGUUUAGCACGCAAAGGCAUAAUUCAUCCCUAACUAAUCAAUAAUCACUUAGACGGGUAUACCACAUCCGUCGGAUUGUAAGUGAACGCCUCAAACAAGUUAAGAAGGUGUUCCGUGGUUUUGGAACUAUUUGAACUAGUCCAUGUAAUUCUUCAGGAGCUUACAUGUAAAUCUCCAUAUCUAUAUCAACAUGGAGAAAACACUAACCACAUUUCAUAAUGCUGCUAUCAAUCACAUGACGCUAUGAGAGAAACCUUACGCUGUAAGGCGUGCAUCAUAUCGCAUUAUUUCAUUCAUCUCAUAACGCUUCCUUUCCCACUUGUAACACAACAAGGUUACAUUGGGCAAUGUAGGAACGACAGGUCCAAUACACACUUUGGUAAAGAAUUUGACCUGGAUUGUAAUUUCAGUUGUCCAAUCAGUUCUACGUUGUCACUUAAUCAACGGAACACAGUUCGAUAUCGUCGUUUUUCAUUUUUGUCAGUAGCUACCUUAUAAGUGAAAACAUUAUUGAUGGUAAUCUCAUUUCAAUUCCAUUUAGCUCAUCCAAACUAGUAUACUAGACCAAGAACUUCAAGUCUCGGUAGUAAUCCAGAUUAAUAUCAUGAGAUGGAAAUGAUUUGAGACAGCGAUCAAGUAUGGAUUCAUUGUUAUGUCGUGUCUUCCUCUUCCAAGGAAGUGAAUCCUACAAAUCGAGUGAUAUGUAGUGCUCCAGGCCAAGACAGAUUGAUUGGCUAUCCAUCGAUGUACCGGACCGUCCAAUAGGGGUGUCUAAACCGUCCAACAGGGGCGGCACACCCUCUAGGGAUGUUGACUCGACGUCCGUUAAGUACGUUUAUCCUUGAAGGUAUGUUUGUAGCUGGUAUAUGAUCUCGUCACUUUAGCAAGAUCAGAGGAAUGCGUUUGGAGCAACAUUCUGAAAACUAGAAUUCAUCGCACUUACUUAUCACACUUACGCGGUAUGAGGAUCAAGAUGAGACAUAGUGGGCAACGUCCGCGCAAAUUCGCAUCGUUCUCCAGGAACGUUGAUUUUCUUAUAUCCCCCUAACGACAGGAAGACUGCCUCAUUAAAGUGACAACCUGUAAAUGAGUGGUAAAGAGAUCGCAUGCAAUGGCUCGAAAAGAGCUAGUGUGAAGGAGAAUCAUAAUCGACAAAGAUUCACAUUCUUCUUUGAUGACCCAUAUUGGUACGUUGCGGUGGCACAACUUGGCACAUAGAACCCGCACCCAAAUGAGUAAAUACAAAAAUCGUCAGGUUCGUACCCAAUAACCAAUUGUAACGUCAAAUAGGUUGGAUGGCAAUAGGCCUUAAGGCGGACCAACAUAAAUGCGUACAAGUUUGCAUACCCCUAGGUAGAAACCAAAAACUUGGUACAUUCACCAAAAUUCGGGCGAUAAUUUAAAUUGCGUUUUAUGAUCACUAGGUGAGGUUAUUUGGGGUGAACAUGGAAAUUCGAUGUUCAGUUAUAAACCCAAAACAAAUGCAAUGCUUUACCGAAAAUCAUCGAUGUAAACUCUUCGGCAUUAUCCAGUCUCCUAGACCUUAAGGGAUAAGUAGGGUGAUGAGCCCUUAAUCGGCCAUGAGGUUUAGCAGCAAUGCAUGUGGACAAACAUGUGACCGGUUUGUUGAUUCAUCAACCAAAACCAUAAGUAUUUAUAUGGUCCACAUUUUGGUUGGAUUAGUCCACAUAUGUUCCUUUAAAUCCACUAUGAAAAGAGAGUCAUUUUGUAUCUUUGCUAAGGAUGAUUUAGAAAUCAAAUUUUCCUUAUGAGCAGGCUUAGCAAAGUGUCCUUGUAGGUACAAGAUCCUUACUUCGGGUAAGGAGAUGCAUUGUAACAUCAUUGUUUGACCUAAGUGUCCCAAAGCAAAUAAACUGCUCAAUCACCCGACUCCAGGCCGGUCACAUGUGGCGUGUUUCUAGUUGGGAGACAACCUAUUGGCCCCAAAUCAAAGCUUCAGGCUCAUUCUUGGAGGUGGUGCAAAGAUAUUUCACUCUAUUUUCUUCAAUGGUUUCAUGAAUGAUCAUUGUUCUCUCGAAUAUCCUUAAAAACUCAACGAUAGGGAGAAUUUAAGGUCCCUUAAAUGGUGAUGCAGUACCAUUCAUACAACGAGAAGCGUGCCAAUGCUCUUAAUCAGGUUGGAUAGACCUAAAGUCACUGUUAGAGAUGUGAUUUAGGUGUAAAGUUAGUGUGUGUAGUACGCAUUCAUCCAGACAACUAACUUUCCCACAUUCCUACCUAAUCACGUGUUUAAUUGAAUUCAGUCACAUGCAUAGAAGGAACAUGAUUCACUUAACUCAUAUUCGAGGACAAUAUCAAUAAGAUUAUCCAUAAGUAAAACAUACACCAAACUUGAAUCCAAGAACAUAGAAAAAUGUUCACAAAGUAAAUCGUUUACUAAGGGGAUUUGGCCAAUAAGGCCAUCCAUGUCAAAAUUCUGCUCUUCCAAUGAUGUUUGGUGGAGCAAAAUUAGUCUCACAUAUUGACUACGAGAAAGUUACUCCUAAAUUACAUUGGUAGAGGCACGAAUAGUUGCAUAUGUAAAUUCUACAGGGUUAAGGUUCGGGAAUAUCAUCCUUUAUUCUUGAAGUUUUAGGUCUUAGGUACCAAGGAUUACGCUUCGGGCAUGAUGCCACACCUUGGUAGGCCUUGAUUCUACCAUAUGUUUAUGGUAGUAAUCAGAUCUGAAAAUCCGUAAGAGCAAGCCAAAGAGCCAUUGAAUCCUCAUUCGGAAGGUACAUCCGUUUGUAAUGCUUCGAGCAUAAGUCUUUGAAUGAAGAUCAUGCCGAAGGCUUAUUCAGCUCUUCCAUGCCAUUGUUGGCGUCAAUGGUUUCUCAACUUCUUAAUAGUCAUGUGGAGAUUCACGUCUUGUACCCCACAUAAAGUGGUUUCUAUUAGAAACGUCCAGAUAAGGAAAAUUGAACUUGUGAUGGUUCGACAAUCCACUGAAUUGGAGGGAACAAGAUUGUGAUUGGUGCGAUGGGAAUGAAUCAUCCAUAAGCAUCAAAGUUAGAACAUUCGAGUUCUAAGACAUGGUUUUCAUGAAAAACGUCGGGUUUUCAUGGGUGUAUUGUUUUAUGAAAACUUCAGGUUUCAAAGGCACUAAAUUCGAAACUACAUGUUCAAUUUAGUUUAUGAACGUCAAGUAUGAGAGCUUCGUUACUACAAAAAUAUAUCAACGGUUCAAAGUAUAAAAAUAAAUUAUUGAAUCGUUAAUGUCAAAAAGUGGGCUUCAGGCUAAUAAUUUUGGAUUUCUUGUCAAAUUAAUGGACUGCUUGUCACUUUUAAUUAAUUCAAUAGAUCGGGACCAUUCGAGGUCGAUCGUAGAAGCAAAAAUAAUAUUAACAUACAGGUAAAAUUAUUUAGAAUGCUAAAUAAUAGCAUUGGGUUCGAAAAUCAUAGCCCAAACAUGAUGGGCAUGAAAAUCGUGAGUAGGCAAGGCCCUAUCGGGUUUAUUGGGCUUAGGUUGGCUGCUAGGAGCAACCCAAUGCGUGGCAACUGGCCACGGGCUGAGGGAAAGAAGCCUAACAGUAGCUCUGCUGGCGUUUUGGGCCUAGAUCACUGCAAGAGCAAGCCCAGCCUAAAGGCUGUCUUAUGGGUGUUGCAAGGAAACCUCAGCCGAGGCUGGGUUUUGAUUUUUGUGCCGUAGGGACAAGCCUAAUCUUUAGGAUUUGUUUGUGGUGUUGCGGGCCGUGGUUGGGGACCGGUCCAACAAGCAGAAAAACUGCUGCAGACAGGCCAAAGCUUCAGGGCCAUGUCAGUGACAAGGUCCAGCAUGCUUCUUGCAUGCGGGUUGGGUUAGGUUUGGUCCCUGGCUGCAGGCCCGUAUGAUUAUCAUGCUAGGCCAAGGCCUGGUCGAUCCAGCAUGCUUCUGGCAUGCGGGUUGGGUUAGGUUUGGUCCCUGACUGCAGGCCCGUAUGAUUGUCAUGCUAAGCCAAGGCCUGGUCGAAUGCUGAGGGAAGGCAGCAAGCCCAAAGGGCUGAGCAAGGUCCAAAUCAACAUCCCAAGGUCUGUCACACGGUGGUGCCGCAAGAAAUUACCCAAUUUGACGAAUGCAUUAAAAUUUCAACCUUUAUUCAUUUCACCUACAUCAUACACUCACUUCACCUACAACCUCCACUCAUUUCACCAACAUUAUACACUCACUUCACCUACAACAUCCACUCACUUCACCAAAAAAUGGAUGAUGGUGAUUCAUUCUCAAAGCCUAUAAAUAGGCUUCUCCAUCAAGGGAUAGAGAACAAAGAGAGAUCACACUCAAACCUUGAAGCUUUGAAACUCUAAAGCUCUCAAGCAAAUCCCGAAGGAUCAAGAAAGCGCUCUUCGUUCUUCGUCAAAUCCUCCUUCAAGAUCAAGCCCCAAUGGCCCUUGAGGAACUUCCACAAAAUCCUCCUUCAAGAUCAAGCCCCAACGGCCCUUGAAGAACUUCGACCAAUUCAAAGUCAAGUCCCAACGGCCCCUUGAAGAAAGCGUUCAUCGUUCAUCACCUGUUCAUCCUAAGAUCAAGCCUCGAAAGCUCUGGGAUCAACAUCACAAUCCAUAAAUCUACACAUUACGAAGAUCGAAUCAGAGGCUAAGUUUGUAGAGGAGAUUGUAACCCUUAAAUCAUUAAUACAAAUAUUAUUUUGUACAUGUGUUAUUGUCUCAUUCAUUGUAGGAAUUUCCAUGUUUACAAUGGUCAUUUCAAAUGCCUUUACUUUAUUUUAAGCGUAUCUGAUUGGCAAAAAAGAUAGAAGCCUUUGAUUUUGUAGAAGAUCCUUCUCAGAAAGCCGGAAUUCUAUCUCCAAUGUGUUGUAUCACGUUCAACACACAAAAAUUAAAUUGAAUCAAUAGCAUGUAGAUCAAUUCAAUAAAAUAAUAAAUUAAUCAUAAAAAGAAUGAUUAAAACGUAAUACUCCCCUGAUUGAAGAAUAAACUCUCUUUAGCAUAGCAUCAAGAGCGUGCUAAUAACGUGUUGUAGGCAUAAUUUACUGAACAAUUAUGGAGGCCAGAGUGAGGGAAGGUGCAGCAUAGAGAGAAGAAAGAGAUGUGUAAUUGCAGGUGUGUGUUAUUCCACCCAUUGUGCCUUUAUUUACAAUAGUAGGGAAGCUUAAUUCCUUUCCCUUUAGGAUUACAACAUUUAAUAGGUAAUCUACUCCUAAUAGGAAUAUGAGAGAUAUUCUAAGAUAUACUAGAAUUUACACAAUUACAUUCCAAAUCAAAUAGGACUACAACAAAAAUCUCGAUUUUGAUUUUUUAUAUAAAAAUAAUCUUUAAACAAUUAACGAUUAAUAUAUAAACAGUUCGAUCAUAAUAUGUGUUGUGAAAAUGCAAACGUGAAGAUGCCAAGUUGCAUAGAAAAUGAAAGUACCCAUAUAUUGAAAUCUUGACUUGAAAAUAGCCAUUCAUCACAGGUACAAGGACAUAAAAUCAAUAUUAUUCAACAAAGCAGGCGGACAGGAGUAGCUUAGCCAAGUGCAAAAAGGAAACCCACAUACUAUGGAAACUAAGAUAUAUCAUACCAACUAUGCCAUAAACAGAUUUAUUAGGACGAUAGUUCACAACAAUAUUAUAAUUUAGCACAACCCACUUCACUUGGGGAGCAAAGCCUCUUGGCUCUUCCUGAACAACUUGUGCUGAAUGUGCUCAGCAAAAGUUCGUGGUGGGAACAUUGCCGGCUCGUCCUCAGACACGGUCUCCGGCAGUGGCUUAAGGAUGAUCUUCUCCUUUGGUGGCUCACAGAAAACAGCCCAUGAAAUCCUCACCUUUUCCUUGUUCACCAUGCCCCUGUGGAGUAUACUUUUGUACUUCCCAUUGCUCAAAAUCUCAAGUGUGUCCCCAAUGUGCAUGACGAUGGAAUUUGGAACGCACUUGGCAGUGACCCACUUUCCUUCAUAGAAAAGCUGCAGGCCAGGAACCAUGUUGUGGAGGAUGAAGGUGAGUGCACUCACGUCAGUGUGAGCUUCAACACCAAGUGCAAGCUCCGGCUGAGGGCAUUUUGGGUAGUAGUUGAUUUUCAUUUGCAAGAGGAGCUCUUCAAGUCCACCAACUUCUUUCUCCAGCCUCCCUUCAUCCAAUCCCAAGCCAAGUGACAGAACUUUCAGUACCUUGGUUGCUAGCUCCCUCAAUUGCUUAGCAUACUCGGCGGUUGCCUCACUGCCAAGGUAUUAAAGAUUGAUGUUAACAAGAGUAAGCGGCGGAACCAGAAUUACUUGUGGGGAGGAGGGCCUUUUACAAAUAUAUAAAACUAUUGACAAUUUUAAUCAGUUCGGGGAUAUAAUUAAAAUUUUAGGCUAGGAUUUAUGAUUGUGACACCAAUUAAGCAUGCUAAGAUUUUUAAGUACUUACAUGUAAUCAGCAGGUGUUUGAGGCCAAAUAGACAAGUCACGCUUGUCCUCUGGGUAUACACAGUGGAAGAAGUAGUCCUCCCACUCAAGCUGCCCAGAUGCAUUGUUUGCAAGCUUGCUUCCAUAGCCUUGAAUCUUACCAGAGGCCUGGUCAUUGGCAUACUUCUCCUUCUGCUCAAUGGGAAGGUCAAAGAAGGCCUUACCGGCCUUCCUGACCUUGUCCAUGAGCUCGUCGGAGAUGCCAUGGUUCACAAGGUGCAUGACACCCCAGUCCACAGCUGCCUUCUUCAACUUCUCCCUGCAUUUUGCUCUCACUUUUUCGUUAUCAGACUCUAUCUCCUUCAAAUCGAUGGUGGGAACUUGAGGCCCUUCGUUGUUCUUCUCUUGUUCGAAGAUGUCACCAAUGUUUACGAGCUCAUCUUUAGGUCUGAUGUACUCUUUUGGGAUGGUUGAGAUUCCACUGCCGGCCAAGGUCUCAACCCUUGAAUUCACUGAAUCAGAACUCACCAUUUUUGGAGCUGGCUUUCGACAACAAGAAUAUACUAUCUCAGCUAGUAUAUUACUCGUUUUUUUUUUUUUUUUUUUUUGCGAUAACAAUGCAGGCCCUGCACUCCUUUUUUUGUGGUGGGUUGAUGAAGCAAUGGUUUAACGGGCAUUGAUAAUGUAACGUUGAUUUUAUAGUAGUGCGACCAAAUGAGUAGUUGGUUCCAAUUGGGUUUGCAAAAUUUAGAAGGGAAAAUACUGCUGCUAGCUACCACUAGCAAGAGUAAGUGAGCGUGUUGGAGAGUGAAGAAUGUGUUCUUUCUUUUCGA
rnacentral:lncRNA from 1 species